UCCUGUUCUAUCUCACUCAUUUGUCCUGUAGCUACUAGCUAAGCCACCAUAUCAUCCAUGGCUUCCGGUGCCUCCACCACGUUGAAGAUUGCCUCUAUCGCCGCUUGCAUCCUGCUGGUUCUGCUGUCCAAUGGCCACCCUACAGUGGCGACCGUUGAUUGUACUGCGGCUUGCAAAGAGCCGUGCGAGAGCUUUUCUAAGGGAUUCUGCGCGGGUGGAGCCACCAGCGGUUGUGCGACUAAGGCAGCAGCUACAGCAUGCCGCAAUUCGGCGUUCUCGCAGUGUGCGAACAACUGCUACACAGUUUGCACCGCCGGGACCAUCGCGCCUUGCGCUUGAAGAUGCAUUUGUGUUCCUACUUCCACAUUAUUGUUACUGGUGAGUGUGUGCAAGCAGGCCUGCCGUCCACGGGAGGAGGCACGCAAGCACGCAUGAUAAGCCACUGUCGUUUUUCCACUUUAUCAUUUACUUAUUGAAGGCAAUGUACGAUGCCUAGCUCCUGUGUGGUUGAGCAUGUCGUCUUGGAAUUUUGUCCAAAGUUUAACAUACCAUGUUGUAUUGUUGUGUAUGCGUAUCAAUAUAAUUUAUCAACUAUUUUUCGUUUACCAUAGACAUUUCUAGUUUAUUUGCAAGGGUUAGGGAAAUUUGUCCUUGAUAGUGUAUUAACCGCAUCUGCCAACUGAACAGAUCAACUUUCUCAACAGCCUAUCUCCUACUUGAAAAAUAUUCGCUUUAGAAAAGGUUUGUUUCUUUUCUGUGUAGCUGUAGCCACCGUGAGGGUUACAAAACUCGGCGCAAGGGUUCCAAGCUGUGGCACCACAAACCACAUAAGCUGUGGCACAAGGGUUCUAGCUGGGUGGUCACAAACAACUAUUUCAUCCCGGAUGUCUUCCAUGCCCAUGGACCUCACUACGGGAAACAGAACCUUUGCCGAGUGCCCCAGGCACUCGGCAAAGGCAUAAAAACACUCGGCAAAGCCUUUGCCGAGUGUAACACUCGGCAAAGAGCACACGGCAAAUGUUGUGUCGGCAAAGCAUAGUUCGCCGAGUGUCAAAACUCGGACACUCGGCAAACUUGUCACCGACGGCCAAAAAACACUCGGCGAAAAGAUGUACUCGGCGAAUUGCGGACUGACGGCGUCGGGUAACGGCGGGUUUGCCGAGUGCCAAACGGGAGGCACUCGGCAAACACCGGGUCUUUGCUGAGUGCCAACACUCGGCAAAGACCAGGAGUUUGCCGAGUGCCACGCGCCUGGCACUCAGCAAACACGGUCCCUUUGCCGAGUGCCGGCUCCCGGGCACUCGGCAAAGCCGGCUCCCUUUGCCAAGUGCCCUGACAUUAGCACUCGGCAAACCGGCCCCCUUUGCCGAGUGCCUUGACCAGAGCACUCGGCAAAGGACCUUUCCUACACCUGGGAAAUGCCCCUUUGCCGAGUGCUAUGGUCAAUGCACUCGGCAAAGGACCCUCUUUGCCGAGUGUUACACUCGGCAAAGUGACCAGAACCGCCCUUUUUUCGAUAUUUUGCCAUGUAUAACGGACCCCUCUCAAUUCACAAUACACAUAUCACAGGCAUUUGUAAUAAACAACCACAUGGAUAAUUCACAACCACAGGCAUAAUUCAUAAACACCACAGGCAUAGUUCAACAUAAGCACGAAAUAAUCCAUAAAACCAAGUUCUUCUCACAAUUUAGUUUCCACAUUGUUCACAAUCAAGUCUACUUCCGUGGAGGCCAAGGAGACCACUGCGACAAAUCUUGAUCUUCAUUAUUCAAAGCCGCCGAUUGAUUCUGCACAUAGGAUAGGACAUUCUGAGGUAACAUCUAAAGUUGUCAAAUUUAAACUAUUGAAACUUAAGCACAAUGUGUCAAGUGACUCACAGGAGUAGUCGUGGGUGGCUGAGGCGGAGGGAACAUCAUCGGCGGUGGCGGAGGCAAAGACUGUCCCAUGCUCGUAGCAAAGUUCUGCAUGUACUGGAACAUCUGCUCCAUCCUAAUCCGGUUUUCCUCCUCCAUCCUCCGCCGCAUUUCCUCCAUCUGCGACUUAAUCUCCUCUUGUGCCUUCCUUGAUUCUUCCACCUGGGCCUACAAUAUUUCAUUGCAAUGUUAUAAUGCAAAGCUAAAGUAUAACAACAAACGAACGAUGAAUGGAAGAGAAAGAACCUGUAGAGCCUCCAUCUGGAACUGUGCAGCGGUGGGUCGUGGGCGUACCGCCGGGCUCGAGUCCGUGCUCCUAGCUCGGAUCUGGGAGAGAGUGGGAGUAGAGGCCGUGUCGAUGACGCCGUCGCCAAUCCAAUAACGGCCAUGCUUCUUGCCUCCUCCCACCCUCAUCACGAUUUCUCCAUCAAUGUCCUCGGAGCUCGGAUCGAAGUCUGGCCCGUGAACUUCCCUAGCCACCUUUGUAUACUUGCUGACGCGGCUGUAUAUGCUAGGGUGGCUGUACGCCUCCGACGGGUCGUCUGGGUUGAAAUCUAUAUCGGACGUCGCCUUGCCCUUUUUGGAGAGGACCCAUGCCUUGAGCUGGGAGCAAGGUCGGCCAUCAUGUGACGCCGACUGCGGCAAAAAACAAAAUCAUUAAAAAUUACAUAGAACUGAACGUUACAAUAAAGAAUUGAAGUUGCGUACCCAUUUUUCUCUAUAUUCAUCAAGGCUUAGGCUACCUUGAUGGUGUGAUGCAGUCGGCAUCUGCAAACGCCGCUGCCGGCAAGAAAGGUGGGUCUCCAACCACCCGGGCUCCAACCACACGUCGACCAUCCUCUCCCAGCACGGCAUAUGCGCACGACACCACCACGGAGGCACCUACAUCAUCAAGCGUGUGACGUAUGAAAAAGAAAAUGAGCCUAAUUAAUCAUAAAUAGUAAGCAUCAACAUUCUAUACUUACCCUCAUGAAUUGAUCCUUAGUCAUGUUCAUUGUUCUUGCCUCCUCUUUUCUAACCUUCGUACGAUUGUAUUGAGCGUUGAAUUCUAUGAUGGCCUGGAUGCGCGCCUCGUAAUGCAUGUCCCUCACGAGCUUCUUGGCGGCUACAUCACAGAUGGCCUUCGCCUUGGCCUCGAACCCCUCCUGGCAUCUAUAGAAGUCUUGCAUAUACACGCGUAAACAGUUAUUAUUUCAAGAAUGUCGAAAGUAGCUGAUGUAUUGAGCAAUUUAGUACGAGGAGUACUUACCCACAGCUCGGCCUUGACCCGCUCCGCUAUGUUGGGGAAUCUUCUCUGUUGACGAUCAGGGACGUCGGGGGCAGCGACGUAGUGGUCCCACGUGUAGGCCGGCUGCAGCUGUCCGGCGUACACCACCAAGCCAGGGAAGUGAACCCUGCACAAAAGGCCAAGGAUCCCGUUGGCCUUACGGUUGUGGUCACCCCCGCUGAGCUUAACUCAACUCCUGCACAAGUAAUUAAUAUGAAUUAUUAGUUUUUGUAACUUACAACAUAAGAACAAUUUUAAGAAUAUUUAAAGUUACUUACUUGGUCCCAACCGGUUUAAUGAGCGAGCGUAAAUGCUCAGGUAUCGGCCGCUUCGGGAGGGAUGAGGGACCUCGCAACCAUAUCUUGGCCUGGGUAUCCCCUGCCUCCCCGUCCCCCUCCUGCUCCUGCUGCUCCUGCUCCUCCUCCUCCGCCUCCUCGUCCCCAGAGGAGUGUGCGGAAGGUACCUCCUCCUCCUCCUCCUCCUCCUCCUCCUCGUCCUCCUCCACCUCAGGUUCAGGCGACGGGGGCCUCGCCGCUUUACCCUUCCCUCGAGGCCUCUGGACCACCUCCUGCUCCUCCUCCUCCUCCUCCUCCUCAACCCUACGUCGAGGCCUGCCUCGACGCCUCCCUCGACCGCUCCCUGAACGUGACCCUGACCCUGAACGAGUCCCUGCCGCGGCCAGUCUCUCGCAAAUUGACAUGAGCUUCCUGAUACCGCCCACCAUUGCUUAAUGACCUGCAAUUAAAAAGAGUACACGAGUCAGCAUAGGCAAACAAAACAUAAUUACAAAUAUAUACAAAUUAUAAUUAAAUUAUAGCUAAAUUAUUACGAAUCAUACAUGUAUUAGAAAUAAUCAUCAUGAUCGGGAUUAGCUGGAUCAUAAGUCUCAUCAUCACUAUCACGCGUGUCGAUAUAGUCAAGCUCGUGCUCCAAAGAAGGAAUGUCGUCAUCACUGUCAUUAUCUAACUGUAAUCGUUGAAGUAAUUCUAAGUCCUUCACAUUCUGAACCUUGUCUCCACCGUCCUCUACAGCAACCCUCUCGUUGUCUACUUCCAUUCCGAUCGCUUCGGUUAAAUCUAUCACAAAACUCCCUUCGAGCCCAUCUUCUUGGAAUAACUCUCCUUCGUACGUGUCGGGGUCUAUAUUGUAAUCUUCAUUGUUUGGUACAGGUAGUUUACCGUGUGGCGAUACCUUGUACACAACAUCCCAACCCUUAAGACGGCUGUCGGUUUGGCACGGGUAUGACAAAUAAUAAACUUGCGUGGCCUAUUGAGCCACAAUAUAGACAUCGUCUCCUGGUAACUUCGAGCCCAUUCGUGCUUCAUACGGGAGGUGUAGAAUCAUAUGCUGCAUUGGAUUGAAGAAGCCUGGAGGAAAGAUCUUCUCCAACUUACAGAGCAACACAGGCGCCAUUGUUUCCAUUUCUGCAACCACGGUACGAGAUAACUCCUUCGCACAAAGCCGGCGGAAGAAAUUGCUCAACUCCGCUAGCACCUGCCACACAUGCUCAGGGACAUAGCCUCGAACCAUCACCGGAAGGAGGCGCUCAAGCCAUAUAUGGUAAUCAUGACUCUUGAGCCCGUUGAUUCGCAUAGUUGCUAAAUUCACUCCCCUCUUCAAGUUCGCUGCAUAGCCAUCAGGGAACAUUAAAGUUUGGAACCAUUCUAGAACCUCCCUCCUUUGGGCCCUCGUCAGAAUGAAAUCGGCCUUAGGCUUCCUCCACGACUUGCCAGCUCUUGGAGGCGCCAUGUUUAGCUGUGGUCUGUUGCACAAUGUCGCUUGAUCCACUCUAGCCUUAACGUUAUCCUUUGUCUUGUCAGGAAUGUCCAUUAUUGUACCAAAAAUUGCCUCGGCGAUAUUUUUUUCCGUGUGCAUUACAUCAAUGUUAUGUGGAACAAGGAGAUCCUCAAAAUAUGGAAGCUUCCACAAGCACGACUUCUGCGUCCAAGCAUGUUGCUCGCCAUAUCCCAAAAAACCACCUUCUUCAUUAUUGAACUCAAGAGCGUCUAACUGAGCACGAACUGCGGCCCCUGUCAUCAUCGGCGGUGCGGGGGCUGUAACUACAACAUCUUUGGUAAAGUUCUUCAUGUCUCGUCUAAAUGGAUGGUCAGGAGGGAGGAAUUGUCGAUGUUUGUCGAACGAGGAAUAUUUGCCCCCUUUCGACAACCAAAUGAACUUCAAAGAUGCUUUACAUACUGGGCAUGGGAACUUCCCGUGAACACACCAUCCGGAGAAAAUCCCAUAUGCUGGCAAGUCAUGCAGUGAGUACUGGUACCAAACAUGCAUCUUGAAGUUUGUCUUUGUGGAUCGGUCAUAGGUCCAUACCCCUUCCUCCCAAGCACGGAGCAAAUCAUCAAUCAAAGGCUCCAUAUACACACUCAUAUUAUUCCCCGGAUGCUCUGGAAUUAUCAACGACAAGAAUAUAUUAUGUCGUUGAAAUAGGACGCCGGGUGGGAGAUUCAGUGGGAUAACGAAAAUGGGCCAACAGGUGUACGGGGCGGCCACCAUUCCAUAGGGAUUGAACCCAUCAGUUGCCAACGCAACGCGUACGUUACGGGCUCUAGAGCUUUUGCAGGAUAAAUCGCAUCAAAGCUUCUCCAGGCUUCAACAUCGGAUGGGUGUACCAGCUUCUCUGGAUUAUAGCGACGGCCAUUUUUGUGCCAUGUCAUCUGUUUCGCGGAUUCUUCAGUCAUGAAAAGCCGUUGGAUCCUCGGUAUGAAAGGAAGAUACCGUAGAACCUUCACAGGAAUUGCGAGCUGCUUUUUCUGACCGUCACCAUAGUCAACCUCCAGAAAUCUAGACGAUUCACACUUCACACAGUAUUUUGCUUCCGCAUACUCUUUCCUAAAUAAGAUGCAUCCCUUCGGGCAAGCAUGUAUAUGCUCGUAUGGCAUCUUAAGUGCACGAAGGAGUUUCUGUGCCUCAUACAUGCUCUUUGGCAAGAUGUGACCAACCGGGAGCAGGCUUCCAAAAACUGUCAACAUAAUAUCAAACGCGUCUCGACUCAAACUAAACUGAGACUUCACAGCCAUUAGGCGUGCAAUGGCAUCUAGCUGAGAAACCUUGGUAUGGCCGUGAAGGGGAUGCUGUGCCGCAGACAACAUUUCGUAAUAAGCCUUAGCGGUAGCCUCUGGCUCCUCCUCCCUACGUGCCUCUUCGAAGUGUGCUUCAUGAAAGUCAUUUAACAUGUCUCCCACCCCGGCAUCAUCAUCAAAUUCCUCGAUUCGUUGUCUCAAGACCUCCUCUCUCCCACGGUCAGAUUCACCAUGGUAGAUCCACCUGGUGUAGUCUGACGUAAAUCCGUUCUUCACCAGAUGUUUGCCCAUCUCCAGCUUGGUUUGCCGACGCAUGUUUCCACAUUUGCUGCAAGGACACCAAGUCGAUCGAGCUCCAUUGACACUUGCAAAUGCCCGUUCCAAGAAAGCAUCAGUCUUGUCAAGCCAUUCAUUGGUCAACGUAUUCUGACUAGUGCGACCCGUGUACAUCCACUGACGAUCCUCCAUCCUCUACCAUUUAAAUAAGUAAUACAAAAUUCACAUUGCAUAUACACGCUCCUAUAUUGUCUACUAGGUAAAGAUAGGUCCUAAUCCCACCCGAGGAUGUGUAGGUGGGUUUAGUAUCCAUGGUCUACUCCGACCCGAGAUAAAAUUUCGGCAGCACCUCCCCGCUGUUCUCCAAAUACACGUCCUUGAUAGGAGAUUGUGUAUCUAGAGAACAACAGGGAGGUGCUGCCGAAAUUUUAUCUCGGGUCGGAGUAGACCAUGGAUACUAAACCCACCUACACAUCCUUGGGCUGUCCAAAAAACGUGGACAAUUCGAAACAGAUACGAUUAUAGAUAUGCAAAGAUCUGCAUAUUUCCAACCGUAUCUCUUUCGAACGGGAGACGCCUAACUAGGUUACGUGAUAUACGAACAUUAUACGGAAAGAGAGGUGUAGCAUGCCUCACCUUGCUAUCCUGCAAAGUGAUGAGUCGAGGACAGUCCUUGUAAGCCUCUCCUGCAACAAAAGAAACAAAACACUGUUUAAGUCAAAAUUCCGGCAGCAUCUCCCCUGCACGGGGAGGUUUCCAAAACCUGCAACAUAAUAAACGGCACGAUGGCCGACAACCACAAUCUCACCAAAGAGUUGGCACGAUGGCCAACAACCACAACCACACCUCUAUUCUUUUCAACCUUUUGUAAUUUCUACUAUUCCUUCUUCUCGAAUUUUCUAAAUCCAUACCUCUAAUUUAUAAAAUAAAUGCUACCUCUCUAGUAUUUUCAACAUUUAAUUUCUAAUUUCCAAUUUUCAUGCAUACUCUAAUUUACGAUGUGUAGCGGCAACAUAAACUUACCGGAGGGGUGACGGAGGAGCGGGCACGGGGCGGCGGCGGGGGUGCGGCCUGGCGGCGACGGCGCGGGGUGGCCGAGGGUUGGGGCCGGGGGUCGGGGCCGGCUGGCGCGGGGCGGCUAGGGGCGGCCGGGGCCGGCGGCGGGCGUGUGCGGGGCAGGCCGGCAGCGGGACGCCCGGGGCCGGCGUUGGGCGGCCGGGGCAGGCCGCGGGCGGCGCGGGCCGGGGACGGCCGGGGCCGGCCGCGGGCGGCGCGGGCCGGGGGCGGCGUCGGGCGUCCGGAGCGGCGUCGGGCCGGGGCGGCGCGGGCGGCGUCGGGGCGGCGUCGGGCGGCGCGCGUGGCGGCGGGGCGGGCGGCGCGCGGCGGCGGCGUGGGGCGGGCGGCGCGGGCGGCGGCGUCGGGCGGCGGCGGUGGCGUGGGGCGGGCGGCGCGGGCGGCGGCGUGGGGCAGGCGGCGGCGUGGGGCGGGCGGCGCGGGCGGCGGCGUGGGGCAGGCGGCGGCGGCGGGCGGCGCGGGCGGUCAGCGGGACGGGCGGCCGGGGCGGCGCGUGCGUGUAUGUGUGGUUGUGUGCGUGAGGACUUAGCCGAUUGGGAUUGGGUGGAUAUCCGAAAACUUUGCCGAGUGCCCGUGAUGUAGCACUCGGCACACCCUUUGCCGAGUGCUAGAUCAGGGGCACUCGGCAAAGUGUAUUUUUUUCCCCGAAAUUCGUACUGAGGCUUACACGUGGACCCGGUGUCACCUUUGCCGAGUGCCCUUGAUCUAGCACUCGGCAUACCCUUUGCCGAGUGCUAGAUCCGGGGCACUCGGCAAAGUGUAUUUUUUUCCCCGAAUUUCGUACUGACACUGUGACGUGGACCCGGGGUGACUUUGCCGAGUGCCCUAUUUAUGACACUCGGCAAACCAUGCCUUUGCCGAGUGCCCUACUUAGCACUCGGCAAACACCUACCUAUAUUGCAUGUGCAACAACACUUUUAGUAAUUAAAAGUAUGUAAACUUUGUGUAAACCUAGUCAAAUUCACUAAACAUUGCGUAUUCCAUUUUUUUAAGUAAUAUUGUACCAUUAUUUCAUGGAUUUAUAGCUCAUAUUAAAUUUAUAUCUAUUAAAUUCAUAUACGUGCAAUUAAUGAAUAAAAAUUACCAAACGGAUCUGAAAAUUUCCCAAAAUUUGACAUGAACCUAUCUAUGUUCUCUAUAGCCUAUAAAAAAAAAUUUGGACUAAAUGAGAAUUACAUUUAUCGAUUCAUCUCAAAAUCUUACCGGAUCCUUUGAACUUCUACGAAUCUUCUCCGGAGAUGCUUCGAAUUCUAAACAUCAUAUGUCAAAACUUGUGCGAAACCUUGUCAAUUUUUUACCACAGCCUCUGCAUACGAAAUCAUAGCAUCUUGCAAAAUCUCAUGAUUUUCAAACUUCGUUUGUAUUUUUGAGAAUUAAACAAUCAUUUGGCCACACGUUCGUAGUCGUGUUUCCUUAGCAAAAUGUUCGAAAUUUCUUUUCAUUUUCUGGGUGAGACCUCAAUUUAGACUCACUAACAUGAAUAUCAUUUUUCCACUCAUAUUAUUCCAUUAUUCCAACCACCUGCAGUUCAAAUUUGACUUAAAUCAAAAAAUUACUCUAAAUGAAAUUAAUUGAUUAAAUAUAGCAAACAAAACAAAAAAUAGUCCAUCUUCUACCAUGCAGUGACAAAUGCCAUACAUGUGGAGUGUAAAAAGUUUGGGGGGUGGAGGAGGGGAAAAAAAUUAUUUUUGCCGAGUGUGUCAAAAGACACUCGGCAAAGACUAUAGUUUGCCGAGUGUCCCAUCAUGACACUCGGCAAACUAGUGCCUUUGCCGAGUGUGUCAAAAGACACUCGGCAAAGACUAUAGUUUGCCGAGUGUCCCAUCAUGACACUCGGCAAACUAGUGCCUUUGCCGAGUGCCCCAUCAUGACACUCGGCAAAGACUAACGUCCGUCACGGAGUGGCGCCGCCGGCAGCACGGGGAAGUCACGUGGGCGUCAGUUUGCCGAGUGUGAAAGUUUGCCGAGUGCCUGUUGGGUGUUUGCCGAGUGUUUUUUGGGUGGCACUCGGCAAACCGGUCUUUCGCCGAGUGUUUUAUUUUUGCCGUGUGUUUUUGAUGUUACACUCGGCAAAACGGUACUUCGCCGAGUGCCCGAAAAAAAGCACUCGGCGAAGUAAUUACACUCGGCGACAUUAAGCUUUCCCGUAGUGCCUGCCGCUUUCUUGAUCGAGUAAUCUAUGCCCAUGAAAGAGUUCGGUAUUUGUCUGAUCGAGGAAGACGAGGUAGCACAUUUAUGUGAAAGCAGUACUGGCGGACAUGAUGGUCGGUGGCUAUUGAUUAUCUUCCAACUCCUUUAUGCCGUUAUCAGUACUACAAAAAUCAUUUGUAGGGGUGAAGUGUUUUUUUUUAGGGUGGACCAAAAGGUCUGCCGCCCCCAGGGGCGGAGCUACAGUCAACCAUCGAUGAUUUGGUCGCGAGCUCUUAUAUCCUUCCUAGGAGAACUGCCCAUACGUUGCUACGGAUAAAAAUAAUGUUUAUAAUUACAUUAAUCAUGAUUCGUUAUUUCAAAUGUGUGACAUAUUAUCGAAUUUACGUAUCUUUCUAUGCAUUUUUCGAACAAAGAGAUAUUUUUAUAAUAAUUUUAUCAGAUUAACAUGAGACAUAAUCUUCUAUGGUAUAUUAUGUACUCUACUAUGUAAAUUUUAUGUUUGUUUGUGUAGUCUUCUACGUUGCUCGCUUUUUAUAAUAAAAGUAGAGAGAGGUGGGCGCCUGUGAACAACAAAAACCCAAAAAUGUACACAAUAAUCAAUAUAUUAUAAUUAUUAUUUUUUCCUAGAAUAAAAAUAUGGACUCAUCGAGCCCAUGAAAAGCGCAAGGAGGUGGCCCGGCAGCCCCAUCCAUCCAUCCAUUGUUAUCCACACUUGCUAAACAACUGAAUUAAAAAUAUACUUUUAUCCACACAAGAGACGGAUGAAUUGUUUGGCACUGCACUUUCUUGGACGUUGCUGUUGCUGGAAUUGGCAUUAGGAAGGCGUCGCUCGGCCGUGCAGAGGUGCCAUUGUGGCUUUGUGGAGGUGCCCCUACGUUGUGCCGGAGCGGAGCUGCAGGCAGCGUAAGCGGCCGGGUAGCACGCCACAACAUGCUGGAGACAGCGCCGAACCUCGAGCGUUCAACUGGGGCUGCUUAUAGCGCCAACAGUGCUCUGUAUCUUGCUCAGUGGAUGGGAGGACGACGGUGAGCGGCGCCUUGGAGAACUGCAAAUGCUCCUGCACACAUGCCCCAUGGGCCGGAACUGCACACUAACCCCCGCGAACGAUGGUAGUAGGGCAACAAAGCUGGCCAUGGCGCUGCUCGUUGAGCUUUCCGUGUGCGCGAACAGGCAUUUGCUAUGUUCCCUACAAAAUUAAAGGUUGUUUGAUUCAACGGUCAAAUAGUGCGAGCAUGUUAAUUGAUGCGAGUGUAUCGUGGGAACUGCAAAAGAACUACAGGGCAUCGAGGAAGCAGUGUUGUUGCUCGGAAGUACCAGCACUGACGCGCUUUCCGAUGUGUCUCCAGCUUGAGUGGCUGCGUCUGCCCGCUCGGCAGCAGUUUCACCCUAUUCUGGGCAUCUCCCCACGCGUCUUGGCCAUCGUUACCUCUGGCAUCGUUAAGGUAUGGCUUCCUUUCAGCCUCGGCCGUUUCUUUCUCCAAUGCGCGAGUGCGAGGGCGAGCUCUGGCAGCAUGCUGCCUCCCACGGCAAUCUUGCCCAGGGCGAUCAGGUUGCACUGCCUUGCGGCGGCUUCAAGCGUGUCGAUCGGUAGCAGGCACUCCGAGCUCUCCUUGUGCAUAUGGGGCACCUUCACUCACGCCACCACUGUGAGGCCUGCCAGGUGUGCCACUUCAUUGUUCACAUGGUUACAAAGGCGGUGGCGUGGAAGUGUGGUGGCACGGACGAGGAAGAAAAAAUGACAGACCACGAUGAACGCAUUAAUUUAGUCCUCCGGGCAGAUUAAGAAAAAGAUUAGGGACUUUUAUACAAAACAUGCUUGACGGUUGGAAAAAACAUAUGUCACUUUAGUAUUAGGCAAGGAUGUGAUUAUAUGAUUAUAUGGACUGAUACCGGUUAAAAGAUCAUUAUCUAAUCAACCAUUCACGUCGCCCAUAGUGUAGGCAACAGGCCAUUCUAUUGCGAUCCUCUGUCGCCUAUCGCUUCCCUUGACAAUUGAAUUUGAAGUCAGAAAUUCUUUUGUUUCAAUUUUGCUAGGUCCACUAGUUUUCUUAAAUCAGAAUCAAGUUGAAACCAGAAGAGCCUUGUUAGCUUGUUUGAUCUAUACUUCUUUGUAGCAAAUGUAAAAUCACAACUCAUAUAAUGGUUGUUUCAUAUUCGAUCUGCAAGUCUUCUUCUCAUUCACACGAUGGAUGGCCAUAGGCACAAAGAGAAUCGAAGUAGUAGACCAUAAUCACUAUAGUAAAAGCUUAAAAUCUCAAAAUAUGUCAUCAUUUAUUUUUCAUUAUGUUAUCCAUAUAACUAUAGUAUGAGUUAGAAUAUUGCAUGGACAUCAGAUCAGCUACAACAUUUCCUAGCUUCGCCCUUCGCCGCCCCUGCAGCAGCUAGCCCAAUCCAGGAAAUGUAUUUCCCAGGUGGGGGUGAGCAGACCCUGGAAAUAAGCUGGGGACGGACCAGCACGUCAACCGUCUCUGAAAAUAGCCCAUUUCAGAGGUGGGCAACUCCAUGGUCCGUCCUAGCAGAUUGAAUUACAGGAGCUGACGACACGAAGCAACACCCUGCUGCUCAACCAAAUUUUGUAUGGACAAGGCGCAAAUGAAAAGGCAAGCGGAAAGCAUAAGGUCCAUUCUGCUCCGCACAUAUAUCUUAUCUCAACCACAGCUUUCCAUGUCAUCUCCUUAGAGAAACUCCGACAGAUUGAUUUUCCACAUUCCCCUUUAUCCUCUUAUAGGGCAUUCCCUUUCACGAUUUCUGAAUUUUGAAGACUAGUGGGGCAAGAAAUUUUGUAUAGUAACAAAGAUAAUCUCAGCCCCACUUGCUACACAUACAUGCACGGUAAAUAGAAAGGGUUAUUUUCUAUGUCAAAGGCAUGCUCAGCUUCAAAGUCGUUCUGUUGUUAGCAUCGUUGUGUUGUUUCUGAUAACGUGCAGGAGGAAGCGAAAACACAGAGUAGAAAGAGGAUGAGAAAUUAAAGAAGACAAUGAAGCUCACGUUCACGUCUACAUGAGGGAGCUCUCACACAAGCAAGUCCAUUCAUCCUCUGUCUCCAUGCUGUUGAUGAUGACAUGUCACAUGUCCUUUGCCUUGACGUCGGCGGCAGGCCGGCAGCCCAAUGAACCCAUGACGAACAGCAUGAGCAUGACCAGCUAACUUCAUUGCUGAGUACGACAUGUGGUUAUCCUUGCUAUAACUAAUGUUGGUCAGAAGAAGAAGCUGCUAUAAAGUUGUUCUGAAGACGCUGAGUUCUAGGCGUACGCAAGCCCCGGUUGAUUGCCUGCGAAGUUUGGAACCUUCGUUUCCAGGAUUAAGCUGUAAAUCUCCGAUAGACUCUCUUUAUAUCUCUUUAUGUGAUACUGUUACUGUUAUUCACUGAUGAUGUGACUAUAUGUAUGAAACUUGAUCAUGUCAUACAUACAGUUAGCACUUGGUUUUGCUGUUCUAAAAUCAGAUGUGACACCUACGAACCCAUGACGAACAGCAUGAGCGUAACCAGCUAACUUCAUUGCUGCUGCCUUUCGUAGAUGUUGGUGAACAUGACGUGUCUUUCAUCUCCACGAUGGCGACGGAUCCAAAGAUCAAAGAACAUGCAUCAACGCGAUCCGUAUGGCGUGUUUUCUGGUAUUUCCACCCCAUGAUGUAACGCCGACCGGGUUCCAUACGAGGCCUACGGCCAGUCUGUUCACUUUCAUCAUGUGCUCCGAUGAGAGUUCAUCACCGUGAUAAAAGACGGAGACGAGGGCACACAGUCGUAGCUGCAAGUAAGGCCAACAGGCUCAAGGCCAUGGCUUUACAGCCAGCAGUCUUGCCUUGCAUGCACUCACGGACUAUUACCGGACUAGCAAUUGGUACUUUGACGCACUACAUGGACCCUUACAAAAUUAAAAAAAUGAACGUCAACAAGCAAAUGAAACUGCAUGAACUGAAGUAAGCUAUUUCAUCCCUGAUGCCUUCCAUGCCUAUGGAUGUACCGCGUGCUCGAGUAAGCUAUGCUUGCAGAUGGAUCUUAAACCUGAUGUCAAAUUGUGGAUAAUUGAAAGAGUUUGCUGUUUGUCUGCUUUAGGGAAGAUGGGUAGCACGUUUAUAUGCCAUUAAUUCUCAUGAAAGAGUGCAUAUACCAUGUUUGUCGCAGCAAGAUGAGGCUGUAGAGUAGUAGACGUGUAGAACAAUGGUACAGGUUGUAUGAAUAAUUUAUUGAAGGGAAUCAUAGACGCCACAGCCACUGAAGCUGUUGGGGCAUGAUUAGCCAAUGGUCUAAUUCCUGAUAUCUCCGUAUCCUAAUUUUCUGAAGCCUUACGGACUCUACCCUCCUCACUUCAUAUAUAUUAGUGUUUAUAAUAGCGGUUUUAUAAGAAGUGCUGAAGGUAUUGGUCCUGCUAUAUCUUGCUUCCACUACCGGAUUUGUGUACGAAAUAUUAAUUCUUGAGAUUUGUCAAUGAUUUUAGGACGCAAUGAUACCUUCAACUACCGGAUUGUAUAUAUAAGUUAGUCUUAGCCAGUUAUAUAUUCGAGGAGGAAGCACGCAUUAAAUAAUAAAUAACUCAUGUUGAUUCAAUUGGCAACCUGGCCUCUAAAAAGAAAAGGACUCUGUUCUCAAAAAAUGAAAAAAAGUAGCCUGCUAAUAACAAUGUCGACACUUUACAUCUGAGCAGCUAGCUCCGUGAUGCUUUAUCUGGCUAGUGAACUACCUACCUAUAUUAUUUAAACAUUUUUGCUGCCUAUAAAUUGGGCAUCAUUUCAGCGGACCACCACAGCACCUGAGCUUGCCAUCUUUUCCUGUUCUAUCUCACUCAUUUGUCCUGUAGCUACUAGCUAAGCCACCAUAUCAUCCAUGGCUUCCGGUGCCUCCACCACGUUGAAGAUUGCCUCUAUCGCCGCUUGCAUCCUGCUGGUUCUGCUGUCCAAUGGCCACCCUACAGUGGCAACCGUUGAUUGUACUGCGGCUUGCAAAGAGCCGUGCGAGAGCUUUUCUAAGGGAUUCUGCGCGGGUGGAGCCACCAGCGGUUGUGCGACUAAGGCAGCAGCUACAGCAUGCCGCAAUUCGGCGUUCUCGCAGUGUGCGAACAACUGCUACACAGUUUGCACCGCCGGGACCAUCGCGCCUUGCGCUUGAAGAUGCAUUUGUGUUCCUACUUCCACAUUAUUGUUACUAGUGAGUGUGUGCAAGCAGGCCUGCCGUCCACGGGAGGAGGCACGCAAGCACGCAUGAUAAGCCACUGUCGUUUUUCCACUUUAUCAUUUACUUAUUGAAGGCAAUGUACGUGCCUAGCUCCUGUGUGGUUGAGCAUGUCAUCUUGGAAUUUUGUCCAAAGUUUAACAUACCAUGUUGUAUUGUUGUGUAUGGGUAUCAAUAUAAUUUAUCAACUAUUUUUCGUUUACCAUAGACAUUUCUAUGUUUAUUUGCAAGGGUUAGGGAAAUUUGUCCUUGAUAGUGUACUAACCGCGUCUGCCAACUGAACAGAUCAACUUUCUCAACAGCCUAUCUCCUACUUGAAAAAAUAUUCGCUUUAGAAAUGGUUUGUUUCUUUUCUGUGUAGCUCUAUCACCCAUCACCGUGAGGGUUACAAAACUCGGCGCAAGGGUUCCAAGCUGUGGCGCCACAAACCACAUAAGCUGUGGCGCAAGGGUUCUAGCUGGCUAGUCACAAACAACUAUUUCAUCCCGGAUGUCUUCCAUGCCCAUGGAGCUGCCGCUUUCUUGAUCGAGUAAUCUAUGCGCAUGAACGAGUUCGGUAUUUGUCUGAUCGAGGAAGACGAGGUAGCACAUUUAUGUGAAAGCAGUACUGGCGGACAUGAUGGUCGGUGGCCUAUUGAUUAUCUUCCAACUCCUUUAUGCCAUUAUCAGUACUACAGAAAUCAUUUGUAGGGGUGAAGUGUUUUUUUUUAGGGUGGACCAAAAGGUCUGCCGCCCCCAGGGGCGGAGCUAUAGUCAACCAUCGAUGAUUUGGUCGCGAGCUCUUAUAUCCUUCCCAGGAGCCCAUACGUUGCUACGGAUGAAAAUAAUGUAUAUAAUUACAUUAAUCAUGAUUCGUUAUUUCAAAUGUGUGACAUAUUAUCGAAUUUACGUAUCUUUCUAUGCAUUUUUCGAACAAAGAGAUAUUUUUAUAAUAAUUUUAUCAGAGUAACAUUAGACAUAAUCUUCUAUGGUAUAUUAUGUACUCUAGUAUGUAAAUCUUAUGUUUGUUUGUGUAGUCUUCUACGUUGCUCGCUUUUUAUAAUAAAAGUAGAGAGAGGUGUGCGCCUGUGAACAACAAAAACCCCAAAAUGUAGACAAUAAUAAAUAUAUUAUAUUUAUUAUUUUUUCCUAGAAUAAAAAUAUGGACUCAUCGAGCCCAUGACAAGCGCAAGGAGGUGGUCCGGCAGCCCCAUCCAUCCAUCCAUUGUUAUCCACACUUGCUAAACAAAUGAAUUAAAAACAUAAUUUUAUCCACACAAGAGACGGAUGAAUUGUUUGGUACUGCACUUUCUUAGACGUUGCUGUUGCUGGAUUGGGCAUUAGGAAGGCGUCGCUCGGCUGUGCAGAGGUGCCAUUGGGGCUUUGUGGAGGCACCCCUACGUUGUGUCGGAGCGGAGCUACAGGCAGCGUAAGCGGCCGGGUAGCACGCCACAACAUGCUAGAGACAGCGCCGAGCCUUGAGCCUUCGACUGGGGCUGCUUAUAGCGCCAACACCGCUCUGUAUCUUGCUCAGUGGAUGGGCGGACGACGGCGAGCGGCGCCUAGGAGAACUGCAAAUGCUCCUGCACACAUGCCCCAUGGGCCGGAACUGCACACUAACCCCCGCGAACGAUGGUAGUAGGGCAACAAAGCUGGCCAUGGCGCUGCUCGUUGAGCUUUCCGUGUGCGCGAACAGGCAUUUGAUAUAUUCCCUACAAAAUUAAAGGUUGUUUGAUUCAACGGUCAAAUAGUGCGAGCAUGUUAAUUGAUGCGAGUGUAUUGUGGGAACUGCCAAGGAACUGCAGGGCAUCGAGCAAGCAGUGGUGUUGCUCGGAAGUACCAGCACUGACGCGCUUUCUGAUGUGUCUCCAGCGGGGGUGGCAGCGUCUGCCUGCUCGGCAGCAGUUUCACCCUAUUCUGGGCAUCUCCCCACGCGUCUUGGCCAUCAUUACCUCUGGCAUUGUUAAGGUAUGGCUUCCUUUCAGCGUCGGCCGUUUCUUUCUCCAAUGACCGGUUAAAAGAUCAUUAUCUAAUCAACCAUUCACGUCGCCCAUAGUGUAGGCAACAGGCUAUUCUAUUGCGAUCCGCUGUCGCCUAUCGCUUCCCUUCAGAAUUUGAAGUCAGAAAUUCUUUUGUUUCAAUUUUGCUAGCUCCACUAGUUUUCUUAAAUCAGAAUCAAGUUGAAACCAGAAGAGCCUUGUUAGCUUGUUUGAUCUAUACUUCGUUGUAGCAAAUGUAAAAUGACAACUCAUAUAAUGGUUGUUUCAUAUUCUAUCUGCAAGUCUUCUUCUCAUUCACACGAUGGAUGGCCAUAGGCACAAAGAGAAUUGAAGUAGUAGACCAUAAUCAAUAUAGUAAAAGCUUAAAAUCUCAAAAUAUGUCAUCAUUUAUUUUUCAUUAUGUUAUCCAUAGAACUAUAGUAUGAGUUAGAAUAUUGCAUGGACAUCAGAUCAGCUACAACAUUUCCUAGCUUCGCCCUUCGCCGCCCCUGCAGCAGCUAGCCCAAUCCAGGAAAUGUAUUUCCCAGGUGGGGGUGAGCUGGAAAUAAGCUGGGGACGGACCAGCACGUCAACCGUCUCUGAAAAUAGCCCAUUUCAGAGGUGGGCAACUCCAUGGUCCGUCCUAGCAGAUUGAAUUACAGGAGCAGACGACACGAAGCAUCACCCUGCUGCUCAACCAAAUUUUGUAUGGACAACGCGCAAAUGAAAAGGCAAGCGGAAAGCAUAAGGUCCAUUCUGCUCCGCACAUAUAUCUUAUCUCAACCACAGCUUUCCAUGUCAUCUCCUUAGAGAAACUCCGACAGAUUGAUUUUCCACAUUCCCCUUUAUCCUCUUAUAGGGCAUUCCCUUUCACGAUUUCUGAAUUUUGAAGACUAGUGCGGCAAGAAAUUUUGUAUAGUAACAAAGAUAAUCUCAGCCCCACUUGCUACACAUACAUGCACGGUAAAUAGAAAUGGUCAUUUUCUAUGUCUAAGGCAUGCUCAGCUUCAAAGUCGUUCUGUUGUUAGCAUCGUUGUGUUGUUUCUGAUAACGUGCAGGAGGAAGCCAAAACACAGAGUAGAAAGAGGAUGAGAAAUUAAAGAAGACAAUGAAGCUCACGUUCACGUCUACAUGAGGGAGCUCUCACACAAGCAAGUCCAUUCAUCCUCUGUCUCCAUGCUGUUGAUGAUGACAUGUCACAUGUCCUUUGCCUUGACGUCGGCGGCAGGCCGGCAGCCCAAUGAACCCAUGACGAACAGCAUGAGCAUGACCAGCUAACUUCAUUGCUGAGUACGACAUGUGGUUAUCCUUGCUAUAACUAAUGUUGGUCAGAAGAAGAAGCUGCUAUAAAGUUGUUCUGAAGACGCUGAGUUCUAGGCGUACGCAAGCCCCGGUUGAUUGCCUGCGAAGUUUGGAACCUUCGUUUCCAGGAUUAAGCUGUAAAUCUCCGAUAGACUCUCUUUAUAUCUCUUUAUGUGAUACUGUUACUGUUAUUCACUGAUGAUGUGACUAUAUGUAUGAAACUUGAUCAUGUCAUACAUACAGUUAGCACUUGGUUUUGCUGUUCUAAAAUCAGAUGUGACACCUACGAACCCAUGACGAACAGCAUGAGCGUAACCAGCUAACUUCAUUGCUGCUGCCUUUCGUAGAUGUUGGUGAACAUGACGUGUCUUUCAUCUCCACGAUGGCGACGGAUCCAAAGAUCAAAGAACAUGCAUCAACGCGAUCCGUAUGGCGUGUUUUCUGGUAUUUCCACCCCAUGAUGUAACGCCGACCGGGUUCCAUACGAGGCCUACGGCCAGUCUGUUCACUUUCAUCAUGUGCUCCGAUGAGAGUUCAUCACCGUGAUAAAAGACGGAGACGAGGGCACACAGUCGUAGCUGCAAGUAAGGCCAACAGGCUCAAGGCCAUGGCUUUACAGCCAGCAGUCUUGCCUUGCAUGCACUCACGGACUAUUACCGGACUAGCAAUUGGUACUUUGACGCACUACAUGGACCCUUACAAAAUUAAAAAAAUGAACGUCAACAAGCAAAUGAAACUGCAUGAACUGAAGUAAGCUAUUUCAUCCCUGAUGCCUUCCAUGCCUAUGGAUGUACCGCGUGCUCGAGUAAGCUAUGCUUGCAGAUGGAUCUUAAACCUGAUGUCAAAUUGUGGAUAAUUGAAAGAGUUUGCUGUUUGUCUGCUUUAGGGAAGAUGGGUAGCACGUUUAUAUGCCAUUAAUUCUCAUGAAAGAGUGCAUAUACCAUGUUUGUCGCAGCAAGAUGAGGCUGUAGAGUAGUAGACGUGUAGAACAAUGGUACAGGUUGUAUGAAUAAUUUAUUGAAGGGAAUCAUAGACGCCACAGCCACUGAAGCUGUUGGGGCAUGAUUAGCCAAUGGUCUAAUUCCUGAUAUCUCCGUAUCCUAAUUUUCUGAAGCCUUACGGACUCUACCCUCCUCACUUCAUAUAUAUUAGUGUUUAUAAUAGCGGUUUUAUAAGAAGUGCUGAAGGUAUUGGUCCUGCUAUAUCUUGCUUCCACUACCGGAUUUGUGUACGAAAUAUUAAUUCUUGAGAUUUGUCAAUGAUUUUAGGACGCAAUGAUACCUUCAACUACCGGAUUGUAUAUAUAAGUUAGUCUUAGCCAGUUAUAUAUUCGAGGAGGAAGCACGCAUUAAAUAAUAAAUAACUCAUGUUGAUUCAAUUGGCAACCUGGCCUCUAAAAAGAAAAGGACUCUGUUCUCAAAAAAUGAAAAAAAGUAGCCUGCUAAUAACAAUGUCGACACUUUACAUCUGAGCAGCUAGCUCCGUGAUGCUUUAUCUGGCUAGUGAACUACCUACCUAUAUUAUUUAAACAUUUUUGCUGCCUAUAAAUUGGGCAUCAUUUCAGCGGACCACCACAGCACCUGAGCUUGCCAUCUUUUCCUGUUCUAUCUCACUCAUUUGUCCUGUAGCUACUAGCUAAGCCACCAUAUCAUCCAUGGCUUCCGGUGCCUCCACCACGUUGAAGAUUGCCUCUAUCGCCGCUUGCAUCCUGCUGGUUCUGCUGUCCAAUGGCCACCCUACAGUGGCAACCGUUGAUUGUACUGCGGCUUGCAAAGAGCCGUGCGAGAGCUUUUCUAAGGGAUUCUGCGCGGGUGGAGCCACCAGCGGUUGUGCGACUAAGGCAGCAGCUACAGCAUGCCGCAAUUCGGCGUUCUCGCAGUGUGCGAACAACUGCUACACAGUUUGCACCGCCGGGACCAUCGCGCCUUGCGCUUGAAGAUGCAUUUGUGUUCCUACUUCCACAUUAUUGUUACUGGUGAGUGUGUGCAAGCAGGCCUGCCGUCCACGGGAGGAGGCACGCAAGCACGCAUGAUAAGCCACUGUCGUUUUUCCACUUUAUCAUUUACUUAUUGAAGGCAAUGUACGUGCCUAGCUCCUGUGUGGUUGAGCAUGUCAUCUUGGAAUUUUGUCCAAAGUUUAACAUACCAUGUUGUAUUGUUGUGUAUGGGUAUCAAUAUAAUUUAUCAACUAUUUUUCGUUUACCAUAGACAUUUCUAUGUUUAUUUGCAAGGGUUAGGGAAAUUUGUCCUUGAUAGUGUACUAACCGCGUCUGCCAACUGAACAGAUCAACUUUCUCAACAGCCUAUCUCCUACUUGAAAAAAUAUUCGCUUUAGAAAUGGUUUGUUUCUUUUCUGUGUAGCUCUAUCACCCAUCACCGUGAGGGUUACAAAACUCGGCGCAAGGGUUCCAAGCUGUGGCGCCACAAACCACAUAAGCUGUGGCGCAAGGGUUCUAGCUGGCUAGUCACAAACAACUAUUUCAUCCCGGAUGUCUUCCAUGCCCAUGGAGCUGCCGCUUUCUUGAUCGAGUAAUCUAUGCGCAUGAACGAGUUCGGUAUUUGUCUGAUCGAGGAAGACGAGGUAGCACAUUUAUGUGAAAGCAGUACUGGCGGACAUGAUGGUCGGUGGCCUAUUGAUUAUCUUCCAACUCCUUUAUGCCAUUAUCAGUACUACAGAAAUCAUUUGUAGGGGUGAAGUGUUUUUUUUUAGGGUGGACCAAAAGGUCUGCCGCCCCCAGGGGCGGAGCUACAGUCAACCAUCGAUGAUUUGGUCGCGAGCUCUUAUAUCCUUCCCAGGAGCCCAUACGUUGCUACGGAUGAAAAUAAUGUAUAUAAUUACAUUAAUCAUGAUUCGUUAUUUCAAAUGUGUGACAUAUUAUCGAAUUUACGUAUCUUUCUAUGCAUUUUUCGAACAAAGAGAUAUUUUUAUAAUAAUUUUAUCAGAGUAACAUUAGACAUAAUCUUCUAUGGUAUAUUAUGUACUCUAGUAUGUAAAUCUUAUGUUUGUUUGUGUAGUCUUCUACGUUGCUCGCUUUUUAUAAUAAAAGUAGAGAGAGGUGUGCGCCUGUGAACAACAAAAACCCCAAAAUGUAGACAAUAAUAAAUAUAUUAUAUUUAUUAUUUUUUCCUAGAAUAAAAAUAUGGACUCAUCGAGCCCAUGACAAGCGCAAGGAGGUGGUCCGGCAGCCCCAUCCAUCCAUCCAUUGUUAUCCACACUUGCUAAACAAAUGAAUUAAAAACAUAAUUUUAUCCACACAAGAGACGGAUGAAUUGUUUGGUACUGCACUUUCUUAGACGUUGCUGUUGCUGGAUUGGGCAUUAGGAAGGCGUCGCUCGGCUGUGCAGAGGUGCCAUUGGGGCUUUGUGGAGGCACCCCUACGUUGUGUCGGAGCGGAGCUACAGGCAGCGUAAGCGGCCGGGUAGCACGCCACAACAUGCUAGAGACAGCGCCGAGCCUUGAGCCUUCGACUGGGGCUGCUUAUAGCGCCAACACCGCUCUGUAUCUUGCUCAGUGGAUGGGCGGACGACGGCGAGCGGCGCCUAGGAGAACUGCAAAUGCUCCUGCACACAUGCCCCAUGGGCCGGAACUGCACACUAACCCCCGCGAACGAUGGUAGUAGGGCAACAAAGCUGGCCAUGGCGCUGCUCGUUGAGCUUUCCGUGUGCGCGAACAGGCAUUUGAUAUAUUCCCUACAAAAUUAAAGGUUGUUUGAUUCAACGGUCAAAUAGUGCGAGCAUGUUAAUUGAUGCGAGUGUAUUGUGGGAACUGCCAAGGAACUGCAGGGCAUCGAGCAAGCAGUGGUGUUGCUCGGAAGUACCAGCACUGACGCGCUUUCUGAUGUGUCUCCAGCGGGGGUGGCAGCGUCUGCCUGCUCGGCAGCAGUUUCACCCUAUUCUGGGCAUCUCCCCACGCGUCUUGGCCAUCAUUACCUCUGGCAUUGUUAAGGUAUGGCUUCCUUUCAGCGUCGGCCGUUUCUUUCUCCAAUGACCGGUUAAAAGAUCAUUAUCUAAUCAACCAUUCACGUCGCCCAUAGUGUAGGCAACAGGCUAUUCUAUUGCGAUCCGCUGUCGCCUAUCGCUUCCCUUCAGAAUUUGAAGUCAGAAAUUCUUUUGUUUCAAUUUUGCUAGCUCCACUAGUUUUCUUAAAUCAGAAUCAAGUUGAAACCAGAAGAGCCUUGUUAGCUUGUUUGAUCUAUACUUCGUUGUAGCAAAUGUAAAAUGACAACUCAUAUAAUGGUUGUUUCAUAUUCUAUCUGCAAGUCUUCUUCUCAUUCACACGAUGGAUGGCCAUAGGCACAAAGAGAAUUGAAGUAGUAGACCAUAAUCAAUAUAGUAAAAGCUUAAAAUCUCAAAAUAUGUCAUCAUUUAUUUUUCAUUAUGUUAUCCAUAGAACUAUAGUAUGAGUUAGAAUAUUGCAUGGACAUCAGAUCAGCUACAACAUUUCCUAGCUUCGCCCUUCGCCGCCCCUGCAGCAGCUAGCCCAAUCCAGGAAAUGUAUUUCCCAGGUGGGGGUGAGCAGACCCUGGAAAUAAGCUGGGGACGGACCAGCACGUCAACCGUCUCUGAAAAUAGCCCAUUUCAGAGGUGGGCAACUCCAUGGUCCGUCCUAGCAGAUUGAAUUACAGGAGCAGACGACACGAAGCAUCACCCUGCUGCUCAACCAAAUUUUGUAUGGACAACGCGCAAAUGAAAAGGCAAGCGGAAAGCAUAAGGUCCAUUCUGCUCCGCACAUAUAUCUUAUCUCAACCACAGCUUUCCAUGUCAUCUCCUUAGAGAAACUCCGACAGAUUGAUUUUCCACAUUCCCCUUUAUCCUCUUAUAGGGCAUUCCCUUUCACGAUUUCUGAAUUUUGAAGACUAGUGCGGCAAGAAAUUUUGUAUAGUAACAAAGAUAAUCUCAGGCCCACUUGCUACACAUACAUGCACGGUAAAUAGAAAUGGUCAUUUUCUAUGUCUAAGGCAUGCUCAGCUUCAAAGUCGUUCUGUUGUUAGCAUCGUUGUGUUGUUUCUGAUAACGUGCAGGAGGAAGCCAAAACACAGAGUAGAAAGAGGAUGAGAAAUUAAAGAAGACAAUGAAGCUCACGUUCACGUCUACAUGAGGGAGCUCUCACACAAGCAAGUCCAUUCAUCCUCUGUCUCCAUGCUGUUGAUGAUAACAUAUCACAUGUCCUUUGCCUUGACGUCGGCGGCAGGCUGGCAGCCCAAUGAACCCAUGACGAACAGCAUGAGCAUGACCAGCUAACUUCAUUGCUGAGUACGACAUGUGGUUAUCCUUGCUAUAACUAAUGUUGGUCAGAAGAAGAAGCUGCUAUAAAGUUGUUCUGAAGACGCUGAGUUCUAGGCGUACGCAAGCCCCGGUUGAUUGCCUGCGAGGUUUGGAACCUUCGUUUCCAGGAUAAAGCUGUAAAUCUCUGAUAGACUCUCUUUAUAUCUCUUUAUGUGAUACUAUUACUGUUAUUCACUGAUGAUGUGACUAUAUGUAUGAAACUUGAUCAUGUCAUACAUACAGUUAGCACUUGGUUUUGCUGUUCUAAAAUCAGAUGUGACACCUACGAACCCAUGACGAACAGCAUGAGCGUAACCAGCUAACUUCAUUGCUGCUGCCUUUCGUAGAUGUUGGUGAACAUGACGUGUCUUUCAUCUCCACGAUGGCGACGGAUCCAAAGAUCGAAGAACAUGCAUCAACGCGAUCCGUAUGGCGUGUUUUCUGGUAUUUCCACCCCAUGAUGUAACGCCGACCAGGUUCCAUACGAGGCCUACGGCCACUCUGUUCACUUUCAUCACGUGCUCCGAUGAGAGUUCAUCACCGUGAUAAAAGACGGAGAUGAGGGCACACAGUCGUAGCUGCAAGUAAGGCCAACAGGCUCAAGGCCAUGGCUUUACAGCCAGCAGUCUUGCCUUGCAUGCACUCACGGACUAUUACCGGACUAGCAAUUGGUACUUUGACGCACUACAUGGACCCUUACAAAUUAAAAAAAUGAACGUCAACAAGCAAAUGAAACUGCAUGAACUGAAGUAGGGAAAUGAAGACCACGUACAGUUCUUAUUGAAGCUGAAAUGUAUGUCAUAAAAGUAUUAUUGUUAGAUUAAAGUCAAUUUAAAUAUUUAAACGAGUAACGAGGGCUCUGAUUAGUAGCAGGUGUAGUGAGGCCCUCCAAUAGACCAAUCAACGAUUUUUAGUUCCAACUGUUUAUAUGGUAAGUUCGGAUAUUUAAUUAAUAAAUUGAAGUUGCCUUAAAAUAUGCAUAGUAAAUCACAAGACCAAAGUGGAAUAACCAUUAGACAACUAAUAAAACCAUCUUUAAGUUUUUCUCUACUUUUAGCAAUAUUGCUUAGGUUUUCUAUUUCGUCUAAAUAUAUCUUAAGCGGCUCAUAUGUCCGAAUUACCCACACAGUGAAUAAAUGUCAUUCCAGUUCAAGGAUUCAUGUGCAGUUGUCACACACUAGUGUGAACCCAUCAAGUGUGUGUCUUGCUUCCCUUUUCAAUCAACAAGCUACCUCCCUGAUUUGAAUAUAAUAAACUUAAAUGCUUCAGUUUCUAUGGUCCAUUGUUAUGUGAUGGAUAUGAAAAAUGAAAAAUAUAGCCUACAAUGUUCAAAAUGCAUCUGAAGUACUAGGGUAUAAAAUAAGCUCACUGCCAUCCAAGUACAAGGGUUAACAACUAGAAAUAUAACCUUUAUUGCUAUCUGUAAAGAAAAUAUGCCUGUUGAAUUACAUGUUCGGGAAAGGUGAAUGCACGGAUUGAUGGCUACUAUUAGCUAAUGUUGUUGUCUUUUUUGUUAAUAACUAGGUUUCCAAUGCCAAACUCUGCGUAAGGGUUCAGCAACUGGCUACAUAUUGGAAAGGAGUUAGUGUUGGUGGCUAGCCCUCAUUAGAGAUAACUAUUUCAUCCCUGAUGCCUUCCAUGCCUAUGGAUGUACCGCGUGCUCGAGUAAGCUAUGCUUGCAGAUGGAUCUUAAACCUGGUGUCAAAUUGUGGAUAAUUGAAAGAGUUUGCUGUUUGCCUGCUUUAGGGAAGAUGGGUAGCACGUUUAUAUGCCAUUAUUUCUCAUGAAAGCGUGCAUAUACCAUGUUUGUCGGAGCAAGAUGAGGCUGUAGAGUAGUAGACGUGUAGAACAAUGAUACAGGUUGUAUGAAUAAUUUAUCGAAGGGGAUCAUAGACGCCACAGCCACUGAAGCUGUUGAGGCAUGAUUAGUCAAUGGUCUAAUUCCUGAUAUCUCCGUAUCCUGAUUCUCUGAAGCCUUACGGACUCUACCCUCAUCACUUCAUGUAUAUUAGUGUUUAUAAUAGCGGUUUUAUAACAAGUGCUGAAGGUAUUGGUCCUGCUAUAUCUUGCUUCCACUACCGGAUUUGUGUACAAAAUAUUAAUUCUUGAGAUUUGUCAAUGAUUUUAGGAAGCAAUGAUACCUUCAACUACCGGAUUGCAUAUAUAAGUUAGUCUUAGCCAGUUAUAUAUCAGAGGAGGAAGCACGCAUUAAAUAAUAAAUAACUCAUGUUGAUUCAACUGGUAACCUGGCCUAUGUCACUCGGAUACACCGUUUCUCUGAGGUGUUCCAGGAGGCAUAAGUUGUGGAACAAUUCCGCAACUCUUUAGAUGAUUGCUAAACUCAUCAGAUCGUAAGGCCUUAAUUUUUUUGCGAUGCUGAUUUUCAACUUCAUUCUGAAAUUCCUUGAACUUUUCAAAGGUUUCGGACUUGUACCUCAUCAAGUAGACAUAGCCAUAUCUACUAAAAUCAUCAGUGAAAGUUAUGAAGUAUUGGAAUCCUCCUCUAACCUUCGUGCUCAUUGGUCCGCAUACAUCACUAUGUACGAGUUUCAACAAGUCUACUGCUCUCUCAGGAAAUCUUGUGAAAGGUGUCUUGGUCAUCUUGCCUAGCAAGCAAGCCUCACAUAUCUCGUAUGAUUCAAAAUCAAACGAAGUUAGAAGUCCAUCAGAAUGGAGCUUUUUCAUGCGCUUUUCACUUAUAUGACCCAAAUGACAAUGCCACAAGUAGGUAGGACUCAAAUCAUUAGGCCGAGGCCUUUUAGCACUUACGUUACAGACAGGUGAACCAUGAAGAUUUAAAACAAAUAAUCCAUUCACAAUGGGCGCAAAAGCCAUAAACAUAUCAUUCUUAGAGAUCACACAACCAUUGUUUUCACUCGCAAAUCAAUAACCAUCCUUCAUCAAGCAUGAAGGAGACAAAAUGUUUCGACUUAAGCUAGGAAUGAAAUAACAAUUAUUCAACUCCAUAAUAAAUCCUGACAGGAGGUGGAGUUGCAUCGUCCCGACGGUCAACGCAGCAACUUCUUGCAUUAUUGCCCACGCGGAAAUCAACUUCUCCUCUUUCCACACUUCUACUUCUUAUCAUUCCCUGCAUCGAAUUGCAAAUAUGAGCAACCGAUCUGGUAUCAAAUACCCAAGAAUUAAUAAUUAUCUAUAACAUUAACAACAAGCGUACCUGAGGUAGAAGUAUUCUUACUUCCACCAUUCUUCAACGAAGCUAGGUAUUGCUUGCAGUUUCUCUUCCAGUGACCAGGUUCGUGACAAUAAAAGCACUCUUUGUCUGGAGUAGGCCCAGCUUUAGCCUUGGGCGCUGGGUUUGGCUUAGACACUCCAGCCUUACCCUUCUUCUUCCAAAAAUUGCCCUUCUUAUUGAAGGUAGGCUUGUUCUGUACAGCCAUCACAUGGUUGGUACUAGCGCUUUUCUUAAUGUCUACCUCUGCUGUCUUGAGCAUACCAUAUAGUAUAUUCAGACCCUUCUCCGUCCCAUGCAUAUGGUAGUUCGAGAUGAAGUUCCCAUAGCUAGGCGGAAGAGAUGAAAGAAUGAAGUCAGUGGCCAACUCUUUGCCCAUUGGGAAGCCCAUCUUCUCCAAUCGCUGAGUGUAACCAACCAUCUUGAUUACAUUUGGUCCUACUGCUGCGCCUUCUGCUAGCUUGCACUCCAGAAAGGCUUUGGACACAUUGAACCUUUCAGUCCUAGCCUGUGUCUAGAACAUGUCCUUGAGCGCCACGAUCAUAUCGUGUGCCUCAUGAUUUGUUUCGAACUGCAUCUGCAGCUCGGGUUCCAUGCAAGCAAGCAUAAGGCAGCUUACCUCAAGAUUAGCAUCAAAUGCCUUCUUGUAAGCAGCCUUAACGGCAGCAGAUGAAUCAUCAGCAGGUACUGGUGGUAGUGGGGUGUCUAGAACAUCUUCCUUUUUAUCGGCCCUGAGAACAAUUCUCAGGUUACGGAUCCAAUCCGAGUAGUUUGUUCCAUUCAACUUGUCCUCUCAAGGACCGAACGCAAAGCAAAUGGUGUGGUGUUGCUAGGUGCCAUUUAAUCUACAACAAAAGUAAUGCAAAAUACACUAAGACAAACAUAUCCAUGAUAGAGCAAAUCACAUUAAACUAUGUUAACAGAAUCUACUCCCACUAAAAUCAAUAUCCCUCUAUUGAUACUUAGUGAUUCAGGAUCCACAACUAACAAGUCUACUAGUGAGCUUUAGCAUCACCGCUAGCAAACAAAGUAGAUCGGUAAGCAACUUUUCCUAAUCAUAUCACAUAUGACUCCUGUUGUUGGGUGACAUCUCCAUGUCUCGGCGCCCAACCUUUAUGCCCCAAGGUCCUUAAACGUUAAGUUAACCUUGUUAAGCAAACCAACCCUUAUGCAUGUAAGUGUGCGACACAAACCCGUCUAAUCAAGAAAAACUAGUGGCACCCUAAUUUCAUAGACCCACCACUAAUUGUACAAGACAUGGGACGGUGCAAGUUUUAGUUGGGAGGGCAUACUAACUUAAACUUUGUGAGGGAUCGUUCUACUUCUAACAUCACAGCAUGCAGAAAGUAAAACAUAAACAGAAUAGCAUUCACACAGUUGUGACACAGUAUGGCCCGUUUUCUUAUGGUGAUCUUCAUCUCCAUAGAACCUGUUCACCAUGGUGAUCUCCAUCUCCAUGUUCCAUGUGCGCCAUCCUCUUGGUGAUGAGUCCUCCAAGAACUAGAACAUGCUAUUACGCCUAAUAGCUAGUAAAAAGCUAGUAAUGAAGAUUACAUAGUUGGUUGGAUCAUCACAGAUUGGUACGCAGACCAUUAAAUACAUUAAGGUGACAACACAUAUGGCUCCUGCCGUGUUGCCGUACGCACGACACGCAGGUCACGAAUGAGUUACACACAUGCAUCACAUACACAAAGGGGCCAUACUGAUCACAAGAUACAUACAUCUUGCAAAACAGAGUUAAGCGUCCUAACGUUCCAAACUUUGGAGGCCCGAAACUCCAUCUUCCAAGACAAAUUUGGGAAAUCUAAUUUCGCCGAAAAUGGCGAAGCGGUCGAAUUUCAUGUGUAACUUUUUCUGUAGAUCAAUUUUUAUAUAAAAUUCGCCCCGAUCCGAGAUCGUAUCGAAAAGUUACGGCUGAUUUACCGAAGCAUACGCACACGGCAAAAUCCCGACCCCGGCAGUAGAUCCCAUCUACUAUUGCACAUCUCAUGUGCCUGGCGUAUGAACCUAGAUUUCGAUUCGACCAAUCACAUUGAUCUUCGCACACUGCAACUGGAAUUACGUGUAUCACCUAACUCCGAUGGUGGAAACCCGACCGGUAGGAGUAUGUCGUUACACUACCAUAGCAGCAAGAACAGGAAACCAGGACAGAGAUCAAAUUGAAAACUCGCAUAUCUCCAUAUGCACACAUCCCGAAUCCAAAACUAAACAGCUACGGCUCUGAUACCACUGUCGGGAUACGAGGUAGGCUACACUAGCGCAAAUCAAAAAUUUUCUACCGCGUAAACCAGGGAAACUGCCGUAUAAGGAUCACGGGAUUACCACUCGACGCACUACUAGUGCGGAAGAUGUAGAUUCACGUCGAUGCAGCGAAGUCGAUCAACGUAGUCGUACGUAGUCGAUCACGUCGACGUCCAACAGCUCCUCAGCAGCUCGUCCACGUGCAGCAAGAUCUCCCUCGUGCCGCGGCUUGUCGGCGGCUCGUCACGGCUCGUCGGCGGCUCGUCCAAGUGCUGCAGGCGCAACACCUCCAAGGUAUCCACACGUGCAGGGAGGAAGCGUCACAAGCCGGACUGCUAGAUCCGUGAGUUGCAACAGGCGUGGGAGGCGCGGCUGAUGAGUUUCGUCAAAAAGGUGUAAACCUUAGGGCGCCCCCACCCCUCUAUUUAUAGAGGUUCCUAACGGGCCUCUGGGUCCAAGGCCCAUUAGUACUUCUAAACCUAAUCCAACUCGGAUCACAUCCGAAUUGGGCUUCCAGCCCCUUAAGUGUGUGACCCUAUGGGUUCGGAUACGUAUAGACAUGGCCCGAGUACUCUUACUCGGCCCAAUAGUCGGUAGCGGCCUCUAGCAAGACGUGCCAACUCCUAUAUGCACACGAAGAUCAUAUCAGACGAACCAUCACAACAUUAUAUACAUGCUAUUCCCUUUGCCUCACAAUAUUUGGUCUAGCUUCAAGCCGACCGCUCUUUCUCGAUCCUAUGAUUCGGAAUCCCUUUGUAGGUUAACUCUUAACCGUACGUAGCAUGGCCAUGCAUUUUUGGAUCCGAUCACUCGAGGGGCCCAGAGAUAUCACUCUCAAUCAGAGAGGGGAAAAUCCCAUCUUGAUUAACCAUGUCUCAUAGCAUGCUUCUUGACAAACCCGAAAGCUACCUUUAUAACUACCCUGUUACGGCGUAGCGUUUGAUAGCCUCUAAGUAGGUCGAUCCACAUCUUGAAUACAUGCGACAAUCUCAGGUCUAAGGACAAAGCGUAUAUGAUGUUUAAAGAGAGAACUACUUCUCAUGUUGGGUCAGUCCUAGCACAUGUCUCCACAUGAACCCACAUUAUUAGUUCAACAUCUCCAUGUCCAUGACUUGUGAAACAUAGUCAUCAACUAAUACAUGUGCUAGUCUAAUAUUCAUGUGUGUCCUCACAUGAACUCCGACUAGGGACAACUUUAGAAUAACCAUACAAGUAAAGAGUUUCACACACAAUUCAUGUAAUUGCAAAUCAAUUCAAGUAGUCUUUAAUGGAUAUUCAAGGAACACAAAAUAAAUCAUGGAUACAAAUGGAAUAUCAUCAUCUCUAUGAUUGCCUCUAGGGCAUACCUCCAACAAUUUGCAGGGUCAUGCACCAUGCGUGCGGCGACCCAUCCAUCGGACAGCGCAUGGCAUUGCACAAGACGUACUGGGAGGAUAUGCAGUGGAAUGAGCCAGACAGGUACUACGCCCUCCUCGCUCUGCUAGUUGGUGUGGGGAACCUGGAGGCCUGCACCAUCAAAGGGAUUGUAGAUUUCUUCGCCGUCCCCCGGCCAUCCCUCCAAAAGCUUUCCCGCACCACACCGGGUGGGCAUGAUAUGAGGGCCUAUCUUUACGCCCUGAUGAUAUACAGGAACAACAGUGCAAUCAUGGACGAUGACAUUGCGAAGAGAUAAAUCUACCACGUCGAAUGCAAGGAUGGUUCGGCAGUGAGCGGGAGCACAAGCUCAAAGAAGCUGCGCAACGAUGCCUGUCAGGUGUGCCGCGAGGAGGCCGCCUACCUAGUCAAUAGAGUUACAUGGGGCGGGCAUGGUGAUCCGCUUUCACCGGCACCAGUUUGAGGCGACUUCCCUUGCAUUGGAGGCGACUGCGGCAAGGUUAAGGGCUGGGAACAAGCUACGCUUUAUUGCAACGAGGACUAUAGGAUACGCCAUGAAAUUGUAGCGUUCAAAAGGAGAAUGGAGAUCGAUAACUAAUUGUAGGAUUUCUUUUGCUUUUGCCUAAUGUUGUCCAUGACUCGUUGGCUGAACUUGUAGUGCUGGAACUAUGUUUGUGGUUAAUUUGGCUCAACUUGUAGUCACUACAAGGUUUUGUCUAUCCAAUGGAGUUGUAUUUUCGCAAUGUGUUUUUGUGUCUAAGCACACCUUACACCUCCCUACAUAUAGGUGUUAUGAUGCACAUAUAAAAAGAACCCACACUUGGGUACCUUCAUUUGUCCUUGGAUUUCAAUUGUGGGACCCACUACAUCCCGCUAGGUUGUGCCUCAAAUUUUUAGUACUAGUGCAAUGUUUCCUCCAUUCUUUUUUUCCUAAACCCUCAAAUAUAUCUCAGCCUCUACCCCACUUGCCCCCAAAACUGCGCUGGCUGCGUUAGGGGGGGCAACGGUUCCUCUCUGCCCAAGCGACUCCAUCCAUGGCAACUCCUCCUUCCAUGGCGACUCCUUCCAUGGCCGGCGAUGGAGAACCCAGCACACGACCAAGUACGGUCAGAGUCGAGGAAGCCGAUAUUGAAAACAAAUGUUACAGGUUCGCAUCCACCUUUAACGCCUUCUAGGUUAGGGCAGAAAAUUUCUACACAUUAAUUGCGUACAAUCGAUUUGAUGCUGCCUCAUUGGCGCAUGCUUUUAUAAAUCACAGAUCUGAUUACUACUGAUUAGUUUUUCGCAUAGCACUAGUAGUACUACAUCUUCAUUCAUUGAUGCAAGGGUUUUGAUAUCUAUGUGCACAUACAGAUCAGAGGAGUUGACAGGCUAGAUGGAUGUGGCAGGUAAUGGUACAGUGCCUGGGGGCAGAAGGACAAGAUGUGCGCCUGGUUAAGGUAAUAUUGAUAGCGCACAAUUAGACUUUGUCAGCUUGUGGGAUUACAAAGAUCAACUUCGAUAUGGUGCGUGGGACUACUACUACUACAAGAAGAGAAUAGGAAAUGCUGAUGCAUCUGUUCAGUCAAUUGGUUACCCCAAAGAUGUAGAGUGUAUGUUUCAGUACAUGGAUUCAUCUGAAGAAAGGAAACUAAGGUUGAUACUAUCAAAACAAGAAUUGGUUGGAGCUGUCAACAUUACACCCCUGAAACAACCAAGGGUGAAUGAGUCUGAUGAUGUUACUGAUGCUGAUACUAGUAAUGAUGAAUCACUUGAUGAAUACAAAGAUUGUCUUCAAGACCAAGACCUAGAUUGUGGUAUGUAUGCUGUUUGUACUACACUAUGCACAUGUGUCUAUAACUGUACAAUGUACUCACAUAGUUGUGUUGGUAACUUGCAGAUCUAUACGAUAACUACAGGGAAGAAAUAGUAAAAACAUACUCUAAAUGGUUAAGGCAGAAAGGCCUUAUGAGAGAUAUUUGUAAAUCCUUUUUCCUCUGAACUAAUUCUUAUUUUUGAUGAAAAUUGUACAAUCCUCUAAGUGCACUUGUUUUUUAUUUGUUCAGUGGCUUAUAAUAGAGGUCAAGCAAAGCUUACAGAAGUACGUGAUGAGAGCAAUAGUAGUAGCGCCACGCCACCAUCACAAUGGCCAGCACAUGCUAGGAAACCAAAGCAGACAACAGGUUCUAAAAGCUUCACACCUUCUGCAGUUUUUUAUGCUCUUAUUGUGCACGACUUAAUGUAAGUUUCUAUUUUUUGAUUGUAAGUAAGUGGCAAGAAAAUGGACCGAGGAUGCUUGAAAGGGCUAGCUGUGGUGGCCAAGAGAUCGAAGUCUGGCUCAUAGAAACUGAAAAUCAAAUUUUCCAAAAAUGUGGGUGGUCCCUGUGGAGAUAACAGACGUACCUUUGUGGAUGAGGUUGUUCUGUUUAUAAAGUAGAAGGCUCCAUUAAUUGGAGUUAGAAAUUGGAAAGAUGUGUGUCAGCAUGUCAAGGAUGAUAUCGUAGAAUCUGUAAUGGUAUGUCAAUGGCCACCUCAUCCUUCAUUAUAAUGUUACAUAUUAGUCUUGUUCCCUCUAUUUUCUUGGAAACAUAUAUUUUGAAUGUAGCAUACAUAACAAGUUUUCUUUCCCACUAGGAUCAUUGGGACCUUGAGACCACUGAGAGUCCGAACAAAAAGAUAUGGAAGGUUGCCAAUGAACGCUACAAAAGUUGGCGAUCUGUUUUGCAUUCUACAUACAAGGCAUACAACAAUUAUGAUGAGAGAAGGAGACAUAAGCCUGAAGACAUAGACAUUGUGAAGUGGCACUAUUUGAACAUGUACUUUGGAACUAAGGACUUCAAGGUACGCCCUCUUUUGUAAGUAAAAGAACACAAUCAUGAGUUCAACUUUUCAUCGCUAACCAUUACUUUACGGGAUGACUGUGUAGAGUAGGAGCAGCAUGAACUCUUUGAAUCGUAGCCAACUGAGAACAAAUCACUCGGGGGGUUCCAAACCUUUCUCGUAGUGGAGUUGGGAAAAGGUAAAGAUUUGUUUACUUAUUCUCAACUUUCAGUACAUUACACAAUGAUAUAUUAAUAGCGUUUAAUGUUGUAAUCAUAGAGAGAUCCAGUAACUGGCGAUGAGCCACCCCUUUUGGAACUUUGGAAGACUACUCAUACUAGGGAAGAAAGAUGGACAAAUCACCUAGCUGAAAGUAUUUAUGUGUGUACUGAGUGCUAAUUUGAUCAUAACAUUGAUUCGGCAUUACAAGCUAUUUUUUGGUAUGAAAACAUGACCAAAUUAAUGUUACAAUUAAUUGUUUCUUGCCAUCAGACAUGUACAUCUAGAAAAUUAUCUCAACACAAUCAGAUGAAGAAGACCAACAAGUCAUACUUCUGGACUUGCUAAGGAAGACCAAGUUUUCUAGGAAACGUACAGGGAAACAACAGGAGCCAAAUAUAGAAGGUCACGUGGCCAUGGUUACUUGUCGAAUCCAAAACGAAAGCAAGAAGCCCUUCAGGAGAGAAUGAUUCAGGAGAGAAUAGAGAGGCCCGAAGAACAAGAAUGUCAGUUACAGGAAAAAAUGCAAAAGCAUGAAGCUAAAAAGGAAGCAGAGAUAGAACAACUUAAAGUUGCACUUAGCCAAGAAUUGAUGGGGGAAGUUGCUAGAAUGAUCGCGCCUUAUCGUCAGGCUUUACUGCAAGAGGUAACCAGAAUAUAAUUUGUGCAUGUUGAUUUAUAUUGUGUUCUAAAUUUUCAUAAUGUCACUAAUGUCUAGCCUCCCCUCUUUUAAAAUCCGCAGCGUACCCCAGCAAACAACAAUAAUACAACUGAAGUUGAUGCUAGGACCACCGAGGAUAACAUUGAUGCAAGGCCAGUACUGGACAGCCAAGAAAUAAGGAACCAUGUAUCGACAAUAAUUGGUUGUGAUUGAAAAUAUAUAUACAUAUGUCGCUAAUCUCUUGCCUACCCGCUUUUAAAUUGUGCAGCAUACCCCUCAAACCAACAAUAAAACAACUGAUGAUGAAGCUGGGAGCACUGAGGAAAACCUUGCUGCAACACAAGUAGUGCAUAGUCAAGAAACAUCAAACCAGGUAACAAUAUCGAACAAGCAUUCCAAUCAUGAUGGUUUUUUGCAUUAAAUUUCAGCUAAAAUUGUUCCAAAAACUUUAUUAUGAUCCAGAAUGCUCCAAGAACGAUUGUCACAACUGAAAAAAGCACUUUGGCACCAACCAGAAAUGCUAAAACUGCCAACGUUGCAAAGAGUCUGUUCAAUGAGAAUCACGGUAAAGGUGUAGGAGCUGUUGCAGGAUCCAGAUUCAUUAGUACACAUCAGCUUAUAUCUGGUGCUAAAACUCGAGCAGGCAAAAAGAAAGUACAACAAGUACAAACUGGAAGUGUGCUUUCAAUAUUGCUGCAUAUUGAUUCCAAGACAAAGUAGCUUCAUAAGUUUUAAUUCACUUGUUUGUUUCUCUUUGCUUCAGCAGGCUAGUGAAGCUACGGAGGGGCAAUAAGACUCAAGGUUGCCUACAGGUUACAAGCAGAACUUCAAGCAAAGUUGAUCAUCAUGAAUGCUGGGAGUGAUCAAGAUUAUAGAUGUGUACGAAUAAUAUAGGUGUUCUACAUACUUUAUUAUUGGGAGUCAUGUGGAUGAAUGGACAAGAAUAUUUUCCGUUGUAUUAAAAAAUAUGACGACGACAUAUUUCCCGUUGCAAUAUCCAUUGAGCGUAUAACCACGACCCGUAUUGUGUUGCACUAUCCUGUACGCAUAUAACCACGACAUAUUUUGAUGCGAUAUGGUUGAUGCAUAUAACGACGGCACAUACCUCGUUGUGAUACCUCGUGAGCAUAUUACAACGCUUUCUCAUCAUUGCGAUAUCCAUUGAGCGUAUAACCAUGACCCGUAUUGUGUUGCAAUAUCCUGUAUGCAUAUAACCAUGAUAUAUUUUGUUGCGAUAUGGUUGAAGCAUAUAACGACAGCACAUACCUCGUUGCGAUACCUUGUAAGCAUAUUACAAUGCUUUCUCGUCGUUGCGAUAUAAUUUAAGCAUAUAACGAUGACCCAUAUUUCGUUGCGAUACCCUUUAAGCAUGUUGCAAUGCCAUAUUUUGUUGGAAUAUGGUUGACGCAUAUAGCCAUGACUAGUAUUUCGUUGAGAUAUCCUCUUAGCAUAUUGCAAUAGGAUAAGUCUUGUAUUGCAACAACAUUCUUGUGUUGCAUUAACGCUUGUUUGCAACAGCGCAAUGUCAUUGCAACAGCCACUAUAGCAACGACGCCUGCCGUUGCAAUUAACAAAAUUGCAACGACAAUGGACGUUGUAAUAUCCACUUAUUACUACGACACACAUCGUUGCAACAACUCACCCUUAUGCCCAAGGCUUCCUGUGUCAUUGUAAUACCCUAUUACAACGCAAGUUUACGCAACGACAUGAAUUUUAAGGCAACGACACAAAAUUAUCGCAAUAGCUCGCUAUUGCAAUGAAAUGACCCCUAUUGCAAUGAUUUCGUGCUGUGGUGCUAGUGACAAGACCUUGUAGUGAAUGAUUUGGCUGCUAGCGUCACUUGACCUACCCAACUCCCUCCGGGUUGGACGGUUGAGUGGGAUUCCUCCUCAGACGGCGAGGAUAGGGGUCAUUGAUGUCAUGAUCGGCUUCGUCAUGAUAUCGUGUAUCGACGUUUAGUUUCCGCAUGUUUUACUUCUUUGUUGUUUGAAACCGUGCAAACUCUGAUCUAAUAAAUUAUUGAUCUUUCUAUAAUAUGAACGGAAUGUUUUAAUCUCUGUAAGCACUAACCUUUGUGUGAGCAAUGCUUAUCGAUCCUGUAUAUGUGGUUUAUCAGAGGAAAUCCAACGGUCGACUAAGUUGACUUGUUUAAGGUGCUUGAUCGCGUGUUAGGUGACUUAAGUGCACUUUAGCCAGGUUAAUUUUAGGCCAUUCCGCCACAACAUGGAUACUUUUUCCUCUUGGUUGCAUCAACACCUUAUAGGUAACUCUGAGAUUCACCCACAGCUCGCUUGGUUAGCUAAGGGACCUUCUAGCAGAAUCGUGAAAUUCCAAGGCUACAAGAUAAAUGAUUAUACAUUUUACACGAGAGCCCAAGACCAAAAAAGCACGAACCAAAAUAGUGGUGUCCGCAUAGAUGUCAUUCACAGCACCGGUAGCAAGGACUCCUAUUAUGGUUUCAUAGAGGAGAUAUGGGAACUCGAAUACAGACCGCUGAACAUCCCUCUGUUUUGUUGCUAAUGGGUGAAGCUAACUGGCGUAACCAAAGAUCAGCAUGGAAUGACAAUAGUGGACCUGACCAAGACUGGAUACAAUGAUGAACCAUUCAUACUUGCCAAUGAUGUGCAUCAAAUUUUCUAUGUGAAGGACAUGUCUAGCAAACCAAAAAAAAUUCAGAAGAGCCAUGGAAGCCAAAGCGCCACAUAGUGCUUCUAGGUAAGAGAAAAAUCAUGGGAGUCAAAGAACAAAAUAGAGCAAUCAGAUCAUUAUGAUUAGUUUGAUGGCAUGCCUCCAUUCUCUAUUGAAGUUGACCCAAGCAUCAUGCCAAAGAAGAGGCUCCGUACUUACGCCAUGAUCAUGACCAAGGAACUUUCAUGAAGAAGUUUCUUAACGUUACAUUGUAAUGCACUAAAUAUGCUUCACCUUUAUGUAAAGUUACAUUGUAAAGUUCUAUGAUUUCAUGUACUACUUGAUACAAUUUUUAAUUUAAUGUAUCUAUGAUUUCAUGUGUGUUUAAAUUAGGUGAGGUGAAGAAUUAUUCAAGAUAUGUUUUUUGAUAUAUUUUUGCAUGUUUGAAAAAUAUAAAGUUUUUAUGUUUUUCUAUAACAAAGCCAGUUCAAAACAUAUAUUAAUUUGUAUGUUUAAAUUAGUUGAGGUAAAGAUUUAUUCGAUCAAUAUGAACAAUGUUAACCACAUACAUCAAUUGAAUUUUUCACACGUUGAAAUUAUUUAAUUGAAUAAUUUCUUGAUGAUAGUGAUGUAGUAAAAUAAUUAUUUUAUAAACUAAAAGAACUAGUAUAGAAUUAAUGACUCAUUCAAACUUAUUGUUAAUAUACUUGCUAAUUUAAUAUAGUUUUGCAUGUUCCAAAUAUAUAAAGUUCUUAUUUUUUCCUUCCUAAAAUCCAGUGAAAACAUAUAUAAAAUCUAUUUGCAAAAAACAGGCGAGAACUGAAAAAUGGAAAACGAAUCUUUUGUCCUAGAUGCAAAUUGCAUCUAGGACAAAAUGUCCCCCCUUUAGGCCCGGUUGCAAUUUGCAACUAGGAUAAAAGGGUAAUUUUCGCCUCCCACGCGAACGUACCCUUUUGUCCUGGUUGUAAAUUGCAACCGGGACUAAAGGGGGGGCCUUUUGUCCGGUUGCAAUUGGCACCCAGGACAAAAGGACCCUUUAGUCCAGGUUGCAAUUUGCAACCGGGAUAAAAAGGGUCGUAAAAGUAACAUUCAUCUUCUCCCCCCUCCACCCUUCAACACUUAGCGAAAUUUUCACCACUCUCCAAGAUCUACCGCGCCCGUCCGCCUCUGAUGCCGCCAGUCUCUCAUCCCCGCCCGUCCGCCUCCAUCGCCGGCCGCCGUGCUACUCAUCACCCGCCUCCAUCCCACCGUCGCCCAGCGCCUCGGCCGCUGUCGCCUGCGCCACGACUGCCGCCUCCUCCAUCGCCCGACCCGCCACCGCCUCCUCCGUCGCACCCUCUCGUCGCCGCCGCCUCCGGUGCGCCCCCUCAUUGUCACCUCCCUCUGCGCCGCCUCUGUGGUGAAACCGCCCAACUUAAGCUGGUUUAAGUGCACCUAAUCGCUGUCGGGACAACAAUUAUUCGAAACACACCUAAAACAGCAUAAGUCCAGUAGUCCGUCGAGUGUCCCUAGGACUCCUCGAAAGAUCCACGACGUGUCUCAUAGCCAUACACCAGGAUCGCUUCCUCGAUGGGAAGGCAUCAACAAACAUUACAUUUUUACAUACAUACCGGGGUACGAAUUAUUACAUACCAUAGUUUGAAACAAACUUCAUAGUGCAGGUUAGCGCGGUUCUAAGAGUUCAAAACAUGAACCAGUCUAGGUGAAAGAUAAACAUUUAAGUUUUAUUUCUAGGGUAUUUCGAGACUCGUAAAAUACCCUAGUUCUUCGGAGCUUCUUCCUCAGCGGACUCCUGUUGUGGCUCUGAAAUAGCAACGAGGGAUAACCCUGAGUAUAGGGUACUCAGCAAGACUAACCCGACUAACCAAUAUAAUAGCUUUUCUGGAAUUGCAUGAAAGCCUUUCAGUGUACUGGCUGACUCAUAGUUUUGCCAAAAGAGCUUACUAAAGUGAAACCUUAACUUUGUCUUUUACUUCAAUUGAGUUAUUACCUAUCCAAUCUAGAUAAUGAAAAAGAAAUACUUUUGCAAACAGUAGGAAAUUAAGUCAUACAACAAAUUAAUUGGAAAGACAUUGCAUUCAUGAGAUUACACUACGAUGCUUAACAGCGAUCUAGUGCAUUCAUAACCGAGAAUUGUGGCGAUCCGGAUCAAUUACAUCCUGUAGGAGAGCACCCUGAUCACCAGCUAUGUACAACUGUCCGGGUCGUACAUAACGACCUUUCGAUUAGCAUACCCAAAGAUUGGGAAUAAGACUACCCGAACCCAGGGAUGCACCCCCACAUGGGACCCCCUGUCUGGCCCGAUCUCCAUGUGAGUUUUUAGGCUAUGCCCCUGCCAAUCUCCAGCACGUCAAGCACGGGUACGAAAUAUUCCGGAUCAGAGAGUUUACUAAACUACCGGGCUUUACUGGUCCCAUACCCAGUAAGCAACCAGGUGACAUUCACUUGAUCAAAGGUUAAGACAACGAUCGGGCCUUAACCAAAUUAAUCUAGCAGACAGAACUAACAUCUCUAGCUUCUAUCGGAUUUCCAAAUUUCCAAGCUAACUUUCCAUAUCUAGCAUGUAUGACCCAACAAUUUACCUUAAGGUUCGGUAACCAAGUUACUUUCAGUAUCUAAGCAUUGCUAAAGCAUGGGUUAAUUACUAAUUAUUGAACAAGUGGCAAAGAUGUCCUUAAAACAAGGCAGGAUCAUGCACAAGAAUAGGUUUCAAUCAACUCCUAGACUUAAUGCAUUGAUAAAAGAAAUAACCAAUAAUUGAACACAUGAAAUAAUAACUCCAAAACAGAUAGGUAUAGAUGCACCGGGGUUUGCCUGGGAUCAACAAAUGUUAGUUCUUCGGAAAACCCCUUUAGUAAAAGAGGCACUUCAACAUUUCUCGGACUCUGUCAAUCUUCAGAUGAAUUCCACGAAUUCCACUUCAGAAGCUUCGAUGUCUAUGAUUUAGUACAUGCAGGAGUUAGAGACGCAAACUUUUGAAUACAUGACUAUACAACUUUCCUUCAUGAUAAAGUUGCAAGCCAACAAGUGACUAUACAACCUAUCUUCACAAUAAAGUUGCAAGCCAACACUAAUCUACCCAUAACAUCUAACCCACGAUUUUUUAAUCUCUUAACUAACCUGCCUUAAGCCCUUUCUUUUAUUUUAGAAAAGCAUUACAAAUAUUUUCUAAUCUCAAAAGUUAUUUCCUAUGAUUUAAUAAUAAUUUGUGAAUAAGAAAACAUUAUUCAAUAUUUUAUGCAUUUAAUAAAGGUUAAGCAUUUAUUUAAAUACCUUAAUGAAAAGGCAUUAAAUAAAUACCUAAAUUUUAUUAUUUUUCCUAGGGUAUAAAAAUUUGAAUGCAUAAAGGAAAAUAAAAUAAUCCUAACAAAAUUGGUCUCACUAAUUUUGGACACUCCUAGAAAUUUCUGUGAUUUAAACGGUGUAAACCGAAUUUUAAUGUUCUUUAUCUAUAAAAGGAAAACCUAAUGUUUAUCCAAAUAACCCCGGCCUAACCUUUCUCACUCGUACUAGGCCCGUUAAGCUGGCCCACCUACUCCCGGUCUCUACCUUAUUCUACUCGCCGGCCCAACGAGCGCCCAAACUCUAACGAGCCUCCUUACGACCGGCCUGCUCUCCGCACAGGCCAACAGCCCAACUUCCUCCUCCCUACCCAUGCCUGACGCAAGGGCCUUUUUUUUUUGGGGCCAGCCCACCCCGUUUCUUUCCCCCUUCACUUCCACCUGGGCCUCCAACCGACAAGCCCCUCUCCUCCUCUCAACUCCCCUGGCGCAUAGGCCAGAACAGGGGCGCGACAGGCAGGGGGCGGGGCUCGCCGACGGUGCCUCCCCGGCGGCGUGGCCGGGCUGGGGGCAUCCUGAAACCGGGGCGCACCCACGGGCGGUGGCGGCCCUCCAGGAGGCGGCCUGUGCCGAGCCCUCCACGGUGGCGGCGGCAAAGGCCGGCUGCCGGCCGGCGCAAAGCCCGACGGUGGCGCAAAAACGGCCUUCGGUGCCCCCCCCUAUGGACCCUAUUCGACUCAGCAAGCUCUGCAACCCAAGGAAUCGAGCAAAAGGGGCAUCACAGAGAGGCUCACCAAAGAACUAUGGUGGCGGCUGGCGGAUUAAAAUGGUGGCGAUUCGGAGCUUUGACGAUGAGGAAACAGAAAUCGGAGGGGCGUGGGCGUUGCGGUGGGGCUAGCGAAGCGUCUGGCGGGCGGAUUCGCGAAGAGAAGUGACGGAGCGAGGGUGUUGGCCAGCGGCGGCGUUGCUUUCCCGAGCUUUGGCUCGCAUGGCAGUAGAAAUGGCAAAGGGUUAAAUGGGAUGAGGGUGAGGUGGUAAAGAUACAUAACUUUUACCGUGCAUGUGUGCCACCUCGAUGACCUGCAGGCCUGCGUGGGCGCGGACGUGGUUGUUGCGCUGGUCGACGAGCAGAGGUGCCGGCGGCGGCACGGCUCUGUCCCCUAUUUCUUCUUUCUCUUCUUCGAAAUUCAGACCUCCACAUCGACCAAUUUCAAAUCCAAUCUCUCGAAGAUCCCUUCAGCAGUCUUGUAGAGUAAUCCAUGUACUUCAAUUGAUAGAUUGGCCGCUACCUGAAAUGAGCACCCUAACACCGAGAUUUUGAAGCUCAAAGUUUGACCAGAACCUUCUGUAACUGAACCUCGGUCAUUCAGUCUCGUCAAGGUCCAAAAUAGCAACUUCUUCCCUACUUUGAGCUCAAUUUAAAUUGCUUAAACUCCUUCCAUACAGCUUGAACCUUGCCUAUCCUUGUUCUACUACUGUUGGUGCUAGAAAUCGGCUGAUCGAAUUCCCAGCGUCGGACACACGACCCGGGAGAAUCUGCUUAGCUCCUGUUCGAGUGAUCACCCUGGUGCGGUUCGUGCAGCGUGCCAGCCAAUCUGACCUGUUGAUUGGCAAGGAAAGAAACGUGUCAGAUCCCAGAGGUUGCGAUCGGCUAAGGUUCCGAUCUCGAGAUAGCUUAUCAGUGAAUCGGCCGAUUUGCUGUAAUAAGGAAAUCGGCUAUAAUGCAGCCGAUUACCGGGCAGCGUUAAUAAAGAAGACUGCUGGAGUAAUCUAAACAAUGCUUAUAGUAACAACACUAGGAAUAGAUCUAAAUCGGCUAUGCGUAAAAUAAUAGAUUGAAUAACAAGGCACAGGAAAGCCGAAAGUUCCAAUUCCUAGCUGGAUAACUGGUGAUAAAACUAGAACUACAGGUAAAACCUAGAAUUCUAGUGGAUAUCGAUAACUGGUGAAUAAAUCUAAAUGAAACGACAGCGAUGCGCCCGAAGUUAAAGCUUAGAUAUUACUCGGUAAACGAAACUUACAGAAUCAGCCGGAGGUCAAGUUGAUGCAGCCUAGCCAACUCGUAUGAACUCGUGAAAAAGAAGAAAAGUAUUGGCGAAAUCGCCUGCUUGAAAGUAAGUGUGAGGAAAUAGUAGUUUGUUGUAUUGAUUUGAUGAUGAUUACAGAUCUACAAGGGUGGCUAUUUAUAGCCUGUUACAAAUGACUUCUUAACCGACUAGAACUCUAUCUCUAAUUUUAAACAAAAAAUGAAUAUUUACAAGUACGACUCGUACUGGGUCAAUCAUCAUGCUGUCAUGGGCUGACUCCCUUUUUACCUUCAUAAUCCACUUCAAGCCCACACCGGCCCAAUUCCUCCAGCCUCCUAAUCGGCCGAUUUCUACCAACUCCAUCGGCAAGGGACAGCCGAUUACGGCCCACAUGUCGGGGGUUCUGACUACUCCGACCCUGGGACCUAAGGUCGGGCGAGGUGGAGUCCCUCCCUUAGAGGGUCGGGCGCAUCCGACCCCAGGACUCAGGGGUCGGGCGAGGCGGAGUUGCACCCUUAAAGGGCAAUUGGCCAAUCCUUGACUGUAGCACCAAUCGGCCGAUUUCCAACCGUGACCUCUGUGUCUUGCCGCAUCUCCUGAGUUCUUCCUUUCCUGACGCCGAUUUCAUACGUGUCAAAAUAUGGCGUCAACAACUACUAACAAAGAUUCCAUUUUGCGCAUGAACUCAUAUACCUUUUACAUUGGAUUUUUCUUAAAUUUGCUCCAAACAUUGCUAAUCAAUGCCGUUUUUCAGACAACAUUAUUUCGGCAAGAAGCCUGAAAUCUGUGCAUUUGCUGAAUUUUGGGCUUCGCUUUAAAUUCGAACCUUCCACUUUCUCUGGCCAACAACAUUUCAUUUACCUUCUCUAUAGUCCAUAUUUCACUAAUGUCCAAAAACAUCUGCUCACUUACAAGAACAAUUCUCCAGAAAUUGGCUCCAAAGUUGUGUACUCAAUAUUAAUUUCAGAGUUACGCGUUUUCGGAUGACUAAGUGACUUUGUUGAUUCCAUAUUCGAUUGUAUUUAUGAGAGCUUUAUAACUUGAUUUAGACUUCAGAUUCAUUCCUUUGAGUUCUGAAUACUCUCAAGACUCUAUUUCCUAUUUUUGCCAAAUUUAUCCAAAUUUGAAACUCCAAAUUGCAAAUUUGGUUGAACUCGGCUCAAAUUCGAUUUUGGCUCAAAUUACCUUCCUUUAAUCCAACUUCACCAUUAGCUUCUUAAUGUGAUACUUAAGUUGUCAUUAACACUGGGUGUUACAGCCUCCUUGUCGCCCACCUCCGUCCCCGCCGCCUCCGUGCCCGCCAUCGCCCGCCGCUCUAGCCGCCGUUGCCUGCCGCCCUGGCCUACCGCCACCUCCUCCGUCGCGCCCCCUCAUUGCCACCUCCCUCUGCGCUGCCUCCUCAUCGCCGCCUCUCCAUCGCCACCUCCGUCGUCUGUGCCAGCUCCGACCCCGCUGCCACCGGCAUGCGCCGCCCCGACCUCCUCGUCUUCUGCAUUGCCACUCCAUCGCCCCGUCCGCCGUAGCUCGCCGCCAAGCCUCUGCCACCUGCCACCCCGGUGACGUGCGGCGCCACCCCCAUCGCGACCCCCGGCCCUCUCCACACGUACAAUGGGGCCCUUGCUGACGCUAGGGCCCUUUUUUAUUUUUUUAGUUAGAAAAUCAGUAUGAUUAGUACAAAAUCAGUAGGAAAUUACUAUUAUUAGAUGAAAAUCAGUAGGAAAUUACAAUAAUUUAGUUCAGAUGCUUAGUAUAAUUUUGUAUACAUUUUGUAUAACUUUGAGAAAUUACUACCUUUUAUUAUAAAUGAUUCGAAAAUUAGUAGAAAUUUGUAGCAAUGCUUAAGAUUUAUUCAGGAUAAGUUCUUAGUAUGAUUUUGUACACAUUUAGUAUAAUUUUUAGUACAUUAAUAUUAUUUAGUACAAAUGCUUCAAAAAUUAGUAAAAAUUAGUAGAAAUUUGGUAGAAAUUCUUAGAAAUCAGUAGAAGUUUGUAGAAAUUUGGUAGACAUUCUUAGAAAUCAUUAGAAAUUUGUAGAUACACUUCAAAUUUGGUACAAAUUCUUAGAAAUUAGUAGAAAUUUGAAGAAACACUUCAAAUUUGGUAGAAUUGCUUAAAAUUAGUAGGAAUUAGUAGAAAUUUGGUAGAAAUUCUUAGAAAUUAGUAGAAACACUUCAUGUAGGAUUCGUUCAAGACAUUUCAUGUAAGUUUCAUUCAAGACUUUCAUGUAACUUUCUUGUAAGUUUUCAUGUAAGUUUCAUUAAAGACAUUUCAUGUAUGUUUCAUUCAAGAUAUUCAUGUAAAUUUCUUGUAGGUUUUCAUGUAAGUUUCAUUAAAGACAUUUUAUGUAAGUUUCAUUCAAGACAUUCAUGUAAAUUUCUUGUAAGUUUCAUGUAAGUUUCAUUUCGUGUAUGGUUUCAUGUGUAGAUUUCAAUCAGUUUGUUUUUUUUUCAUGGUUGUUCUAUGAUUUCAUGUAUAUACCUUAACGUACAUGUAACUAUGAUUUCAUGUGUGUUUAACGUAGUUGAGAUGGCAGACGACAAGACCGCAAGCUAUCUAAUGGAGCAGAUUAUUGCUGAUGGUAGUGGCUCCAACCUUCCCGUAACGUACAUCGAUAAAGAGGGUACCUAGGCGAACAUGUUCCUCAACAUGUCUAGCGAUGGCAAUGAAGAGCCUCAGCCCUAGCAAAACCUUAUCGUGAUGGAAGGUUCCAGCGAGGUAUAUAUCAUUUCCAUUGUUUUACCCCAUCUAUAAUGUCUUAUUCAUUAUUAUUAUAUACUAAUUAACGAAUCUUGAACUGUUAGCCCUCUGGAUCGAUGAACCGUCAUAAGCCCCGAGGCCGUACAAAGGUGAUGGAUGGAGGGCUUAUCAUCAUGGAAGUCACAGAAGAGGGCAAGCCGGUUGCUCCCGAAAACAUGGCAAAAAAGUACGUGAGCCAGAUCGAGGCAAUCGUAAGGGACAACGUGCCCAUCAACAUCAUGGAAUGGAGGGGUGAAAGUACUAAUGCAUACGCGCUCUCGGAUACAGAAAAGGAAAUGUUGUGGUUAGAUGUUAAGAAACAUUUCACAUUUUCCCGAAGGAUGUAAUGAAGAUUAUGUGAAAUCGUGGAUGCUGAAGAAGAUGGCCACACAAGAAGGGCUGAUGUCCACAAUUCAAUGAGUGGUGAGGGACCACUGGGAGUCAUUUGUUGAAUACAAGACGAGCGAAACGGUGCGAACAAGGUUCGCACCAACUUUGUAAAUGCUGGCAAGAAGGAGUACCAUCAUUGUCUAGGGCGAGGUGGUUACAACACUACAAUUUCUAGAUGGCGCAAGAUGGAACAAGACCUGAUUGAUUGGGGUAUCCUACCAGCAACUCUUGAAUAUCCUGAUCGAUCGAAAAAUUGGUAUUACGCUCAUGGAGGCAACAUGAGCCAAGAGGAUGGGACACUGAUCUUCAAUGAGACAAUAUGUCAGAAGGCCAAAAGGCUUAUCAAGAACAUUGAAGAUGACACGGCUGGGAGUUGAAGGUGGACCGAGAGAAUAAUGAGCUAACAUUGGCCCAAGAAUCCCGAGCACCUAGGAUAUUGCCGAGGGUACGGGGUCAUUCUGUGGAAGUUCGCUUUUCGAGGCGACAUGUACUCAUACAGAAGCCGCAAGCGAAGAAAGGAAUAGCAAGAGGAGAGCUGGCGGCGCAUGUUAGAAUCCAAAGUGCAUUCACAUGAAGUAAGAAUGCAGGAGGAAAUCAAUCAUCGAGUGGCCCUAGCAGUUGCGAAGUUGGCCCAAUCUAGAGCACUACCGGAUCCAAACGUUAGAUGAGCAACGGUUCUUUGUGGCUGUGAUCACGCAACGCACCUCAUGUGAAUGGCAUAAACUGGUCGGCAACGUCACCAUUAAGGUAUACUUAUACAUAAUAAUUAUGCAAUCUUCUCAAUCCAUCCACGCCUCGGGAGUUUAAUAACUUCUUUAUUUCUACUAUAUGUACAAGUGGCAUACGAGAGUGCCUUACCAAUCCUGCCAGGGUAGACAAGCGAUGCCAUGGAGGUUCUACCUGGCUACGCUAGCGUCAGCCUAGAGCUGCUCGUUGAUAGCCAAUAUGAAGGCCUAGAGCUCGACCUCCCGGGAGGCGAUAGGGAAAGGACACUAGGAGAUGCGCUUCACGGGAUCAUUCUAUGGUGCAAAUGUUACAUCAUCAUCCCCGGCAUGGAGGCAUCAUUGCUCCCCGUAGAUCCCCAGCAGCGACCAUCUCCUCAAAGCUCAAGAUCGUCAUCUCCAACACGGCCUUCUCCAGGACCGUCAUCUCCACCACAACUUGCUCCAGAACCAUCAUCUCCAGCACAACCAGCUCCAGGACUGUCGUCACCACCGGGACCGUCUCUUCCUGCUCGAUCACGGUCUCCAUCUCCAGCACAUCCUAGUGGUGCGAGCGACGAUGACAAUAACACCCCUUCCCAAUCACCAUCUCCAGGACUAAGAGCUGCAUCGAGCAAGGAACCUGUAGCAACACUUAAGAAGUCGCAACCACCGCCUCCCAAGCCAAGACAGAGAAAGAAGAAAACAAACGAGCCUGAAUUGACUCCUGACAAAUGUAGGGAGGAGAAAAUGCAUGAGGAUUGCUGGCCCAAACCAAAGCAGAAUGCAGGGAGCGGUUCAAGAAAAUGGCCGAAGAAAGAAAAGCAAAGGCGAUGGAGCCACCGCCAGUAGAUUGAAGACAAUUAAAUUUUUUUAUAAAGAUGUCAGAAGAAGCCAAGAAGAUGCUGCCACCUUAAACUACGAUCGGGUGUUAGUCAAGGCUGAUGAGAGGAAAAAAUGGAAAGGAAAGUCGUCUUCAAGGGGUACUAUCCUCCACCUUAGACAUCUACCGAAAAAGACUCUCAAAAGAAAGCAUCAAUGCUAGCAAUGCCCUUGGAUCAAUAAGACCAAGUAGUGAAAUUCAUACAAGAAACAGGAAUGUCCUUUUCUGAAUGUCUAGGGCAAAGUGAGCCACCAGCUGCAUAGCCAGUUGAACCGAAAUGGACCUUUUGAGCUAGGCAAGUCUCUGGUAAGGCCUGAGUUGAUAUGGAAACUAUCAACAAAGAUGUACAAAUUCCAUGAAUGGUACAUCAAGCAGUCCAUCGUUGACAGGGAAAUAUUCGACCUUAAGGUCAAACCAAUAGCCUGGUUGACGUCUCUCUCAUCAGCGCUUGGGCUCUGCAAGUGUUCGUUUAUCUAUGUGUAAAUUUUGGCUCAUAUCAUUAUUUUUUGUGCAUGCAUCGCCCUGCUAACUUCGUCUUCCAUUUUAUGUAGGAUGCUAAUUCAGAUGUGCUGACGAGAAGUGUACUUCCAUGUUGGCUUCAUGGAUCCAUCCCUAGUUAACCAACACAAGAUAUGGGAUUUUCCAGAGAAAACGUUGAUGGAAGUAUACAAUUUCCUGGACAAACAAAAUUACAGCAAGGAAUACAUCCUACUUCUAUACAACUUCAAGUAAGUGUGUGUAUACCAUCUAUUUUUAUUUUCUUUUUCCUUACCUGAUUAAUGUUAGUUAGCUCUAAUAUGAACAAUUACGUACGCAGUUUCCACUGGAUCCUCCUAAUAAUUGAGCCUGAUAGAAGCCACAUCACUGUCUUCGAUUCAUUGAGGAAACCACCGAAGGAGUACCAAGAUGUUCAAGACAUGCUAAACUUAAUAAUUCUGGACUUUAUCUCUGUGCAAAAGUUUGUUUCCUAAAUUUUCACCUAACACUGUAUCAUUCAUUAACACAAAGGUCCAUUCAAAGAAAAACUUACAUGGAACACAAACUUCCUGGCAUGUAUGAAGUUUGCAUAUUUUGUACAUUAUAUAGCAUGAAUAUUUCAUAACUUGUUUUUCCCCACUGUAGUGCUUAAGACAGGAACUCAAAAAUAAUCUAUGUGGCUACUAUGUCUGUGAGCACAUGCAUAGUUUUUUGGGACACAAGGUACUAAAGAUGACGCCGCACAACUAUAACGUACGUAAAAGAAAACUAUUAAUAGUUAAAUAUUUUCUAGCUCCUUAUAUUUAAUUGUUCGUGUAACAUUCACAUAUUUCCAGAUUACAGAUGCAUAAUAUUCAACAAAAACUCUUGGAGAAGGAAAGAAUAAUGGCAAUAUAUGAAGGUCUCAUGGGAUUCCUGGUGGACGAGGGGGUACAUCAACAAGGAGAAUUUUAUUACAAUGGACGAAAAUUAGACGCACUGAGCAACACCACGACGGGAAGAUCCAAGGAAUGACUGAGGCAAAUUUUUGUAUAUAUAUAUAUACUAAUUGUAUAAAUACUAUGCUAAGAUUUGUAUAGUAUGCUAAGAAUUGUAUAUAUACUAAGAAUUGUAUAUAUAGUAAUUGUAUAAAUACUAGUUUGAUUUCAUAAUAAAAAAAGUCUUAACUAAACUAAAGGGUACGUGAUGCAUGAAAUUACAGGUGCCUGCCUGCAUGGCGCCUGUAAUUUCAUGCAUGCACUUUAGUCCCGGUAGAAAAAACCAACCGGGACUAAAGGGAGCACCCUUUACUCCCGGUUGGUAAAACCAAUGAGGACUAAAGGGGCCUGUCCCGCGCCUGGCGUGGCAGCCCCUUUAGUCCUGGUUGGUUUUACCAACCAGGAUUAAAGGGUGUCUUUAGUCCCAGUUGAGUGACCCGAGACUAAAGACCCCCCAUUCGUCUUGAUUGCUUUAUCCCGGAUGGAUUUUCGGGAAAUUUUAUCCCUACCAACCAGGACUAAAGGUGAGUUUUCUACCGGUGCCUGUUCUAUCUCACUCAUUUGUCCUGUAGCUACAAGCUAAGGCCCCAUGUCAUCUAUGGCUUCUGUCCUGUAGCUACUAGCUAAGCCCCCGUAUCAUCCAUGGCUUCUGGUGCCUCCACCACACUGAAGAUGGCCUCUAUCGCCCCUUGCAUCCUGCUGGUCCUGCUGUCCAAUGGCCACCCUACGAUGGUGGCCGUUGAUUGUGUUGCGGUUUGCAAAGACCCGUGCCAGAGCUUUUCUAACGGGUUCUGCGCGGGUGGAGCCACUGGCGGUUGCACAACUACGGCAGCAGCUACAGCAUGCCGCAAUUUGGCGUUCUCGCAGUGUGCGAACAACUGCUUCAUAGUUUGCACUGCCGAGAUCAUCACGCCUUGCACUUGAAGAUGCAUUUGUGUUCCUACUUCCAUGUUAUUGUUACUGCAGAAUAAUAUGGAUAAAUACGUGCAAGCAGGCCUGCCGUCCGCGGGAGGAGGUACGCAAGCACGCAUGAUGAGCCACUGUUGUUUUUCCAUUUUAUCAUUUACUUAUUGAAGGCAAUGUACGUGCCUAUCUCCUGUGUGGUUGAGCAUGUCAUGUUGGAAUUCUGUCCAAAGUUUUACAUACCAUCUUGUAUUGUUGUGUAUGCGUAUCAAUAUAAUUUAUGAACUAUUUUCCUUUACCAUAGACAUUUCUAUGUUUAUUUGCAAGCACUACUAGAGAACUGACUUUAGAUCCCACCCCCUUUAGUCUCGGUUUAAUUUCGGACCAGGAGAAAACGGGGUGCGCCACGGUAGGCUAGAAUGGGGUGCACCUUUACUCUCUAUUCUUUUUUUGCAACCGGGACUACAGGCCACCCUUUAGUCUCAGUUAAAACGGCUAGUUAUUGGGCACCGACGGCGUCACCCUUUACCCCCGGUUGGAGCCACCAACUAGGACAAAAGAUCCAACCUUUUGUCCCGGUUGGAAAAUCCAACCGGGAUAACAGGUUUACUCCCAGUUGGUAAUUCCAACCGGGACAAAAGGUUGGAGCUUUUGUCCCGGUUGGUGUUACGAACCGGGAGUAAACACCAACCGGGAGUAAAGCUCUAAUCUUUUGUUCCAGUUGGAUUUACCAACCGGGGUAAAAUCUUAUCUACAAGAGGCCUUUCUUCCUCCUCCACUCCUCCAGCCCGAGCCACUCCACUCCACAAAGACAGAGAACCUCAUCCUCUCCAUGGCGCCGAAGCAAGCCUAGGGGAGGUGCUGCUGAAAUUUUUUUUCCUUAUUUCCGUGGGGAUUUCAUUCAUCCAAAGUGUUGUGAAGGUUAGCUACUUCAUGCUCCGUUCAUUUAUUGUUGUUAAGCUUUGUUUUAUACUUUAAAGAGGGAGAAAAAUGAGUUUGUUUAUUGUUAAGCAUGUAGAGGAUUUGUAUUUAUACAUGUUUUUGAGCUACAAUGUGAUGGAUAGUUUGAAUGUGAGGGAGAAUGGACAGUAAAUGUGAGGUAGAAUUGAGAUUAUUUCAAUUUUAUGUAUUAGGGAAAAAUUAGAGCAAAUGUGUUUUUAAUACUUAUAAAUUAGCCAUAUAAAUUGUAGGUGUAAUUUCAUACUUUAGUACUUUUCAAAUAGAGGUAUGCAAUUUGCCAUUUUUAGAAUAAGUACAUUAUGUGGGAAAUAUUGAAUUUUUUAAUAGUUUAGUUAUUUCUAAAUUAAAUAUGAGCUAAAUAAUUUGUGUAUUUCUAUGUAAACUUUCAGCAAUAUUUGAGUUUGUCGUAGUGUAUCAUGUUGUUUGCUUCUGAAAUUUUAAUUUGUGUAUUUCUAUCUAAAAUUUUAGCAAUGUGAUGGAUAGUUUUAUUGUAAUACAUUUUAUUGAUGGCUUGCGUAAUACGAUGCAGAUGGACCAGCAAUGGAUGUAUAACGCGGACAGGCAGAGCAAGGUGUUUAUUGCUGGCAUGAAUAAUUUUCUUGAAGUGGCCAAAGCGAACAAACCAGGGAACGGGUUCAUAUCUUGUCCAUGUGCCCAAUGCAGUAACCAGAAGUGCUAUUCAAAGGCUUCCUAGGGGACUAUUCAUAGCCACUUGUUUAGAUACGGUUUCACGCCUAACUAUUUGGUUUGGACCCGUCACGGUGAAAGAGGGGUUGUAAUGGAAGAUGGUGAAGAGGAGGAGGAUGAUGACAACAUUCCGAACUGCGCUACAGUCUAAUCUUUUGUAGAUACUACUGUGGCGGAUCCACUUCGGAUCUACUGGGUUAAACAUGAUUUAGCCGCCUGAUAUGCGACGCUCAUGCCUAAGCUGAGUAAACACGAAGUGCCAUCGGAUUUUACUCCGAUUUAACCACUUGAACAGGACCGGUUUAGCAGACUCACACGAAGGUGAGCGGUUCCAGAGAGUACAACGAGUCCACCAAGUUAACAAAUUAACCACUGGAUUUAGUUACGAAAAGGACGUCAGAGUUUUACAAGAUUUCGGAAAACAACAGAAAGUAAAACACUAGCAGAAGCAUUCGUCGGGGUCGGAUGUCCUGGUGAGGCCGGCUGGGACAUCACUGAUCCCUCUCCUCGCCGUCCGAGGAGGGAUCCCACUCGACCGUCCAGCCCGGCGGGAGCUGGGGCAGCCAAGCGCCAGCAAGAGAGGGGUCGGGAGCAGCAGCUUCACCUGAAAAACAGGAGCCACAACAAGGCUGAGCUACUAAGCUCAACAAGACUUAACCGAUAGGAGUAAAACUACUCCUCCUAGACAUGCAGGGCUUUUUUGGCUGAGGGGUUUGGUUGCCGAAAGCUCUAAUUGAAAACCCUAUUUUCAAGUUUUAGCUCCGGUUCUAGGUUCAUUUACCAGUCUAGGUUUUGCAACCUAUUCUAAGCAAUCGUGGAACCAAACAAGAUGUGUAGAUAUAUCAACAAACAUGUCAUCAUCAGAUUCCUCAUUUACUCAGGGUGACAUAGCGAUCAAGCAAUCUCAAACUGUGAGAGGCAGACGAAUCGAUUCGAGUUCUUUAACCAUGCAUGGUGAACCUAGCCUCAUGACAUCCACGUACCCGGAGGUCGCUUCCUGUGUCGGCCUUCCCCAUCAAUCCCCUAACCCGUGUCGGGCCUAUUUCCUUUGGUGCAAGGUUCCACAGACCCGGCCUCUGCCGUUCUGGGGCCACGCAUGCCACCACGUGCGACAUCCAGCAGGGGAAACUCCGUUCCAAGAAUAAUGGGGCGACCGCUCACGUCUAGGUUCAAUCCGGUACUAGGCUUCCUCAUCCCAUACUAAGUAUGAGGCUAGUACUUUCAAACACUUGAUCACGAACACCACCACUGUCGGACCUUAGCAAGUUUUUCAUAGACAGACGGGGCAACCAUCCGUCCACCAAAGAGUUACCCAAACCCUGCCCCAUCCAUCGUCCUUAUAGUUGUAACAGAAAGGUAGACAUCCAACUCCUACAACUCGCGAGUGACAGGGAAUCACUCGACUUUUACCGUCUCCUAGUUAAGCAAUGCAACUACUCGGUCUAACAGCUAGUGCUCACAUCAUGGGGAUAACUAAGCCAUGUGUCUAGGGUUUCAAACAACUCCUAUACGUAAAUGCACAAACAUAUUACAGAAGGCAUGCGCAAGUUUGGUAAAACACACAGGGUUUUCAUGCAACUGGGGCUUGCCUUCGAGCAAGGAGGAAGAGAACUGCUCGAUUUCUAGGACGGCUUCGGCUUCAGCGGGCAAGAACUCAGCUACAGCUUCAUCUUCUGGCGCCGGGUGCAGCUCGUAGAAGCUGUCGGCGAGGCGCAGCUCUACACGAAUGCAAUGCAAGAGUUAGCAUAGAUGGUUAUUUCAACAGCAACACUUGCUCGCCUGAGCCCAGAAACUCGCGACAAAGAGCAGGGGGGUUGGGGAGGUUCAAGAGAGCGGGUGAGGAUCAAGAGGCAAGGGUCGGAAAGGAAACUUAGGAUCUGAUCCUUGAACUAGAGGAUGCGGUAUACUAGGGAUCCUCAGACGCAAGCGCUGAAGGGUUCCUAAGUUUUUGCACAUACACCCUCGGGUUGAAGAAAAGAUCACAGCCGAGCCCUUGGGCAAGGCGGAUAAGGGUCGGCGGGACAGAUAGGGUCGGGCGAGACGGAACCGGGGUCGGGCGGAUAAGAGGGGUCGGGCGAAGCGGACUGGGGUCGGUAGCUUACCUUCUUCCUGAAAGGAAGGCUUGGGGUCGGGAAGAGGCAGACUUGGGCGGAGGGACUAAAGCUUUGAACACGGCUAAGACUGGCAGUGCUCCGGCGGCGGCGGUGCUUCUUGCAGAUCACAAGAGAGCUUUUGCGCAGCACGGAGGAGCAAGCUGCUGGGUGACUUGGGGAAACUGAGGGGAGCUGAGGGGAGGGUUCCUCAAGAACAUAUGUCACUUUAGUAUUAGGCAAGGAUGUGAUUAUAUGAUUAUAUGGACUGAUACCGGUUAAAAGAUCAUUAUCUAAUCAACCAUUCACGUCGCCCAUAGUGUAGGCAACAGGCCAUUCUAUUGCGAUCCUCUGUCGCCUAUCGCUUCCCUUGAGAAUUUGAAGUCAGAAAUUCUUUUGUUUCAAUUUUGCUAGGUCCACUAGUUUUCUUAAAUCAGAAUCAAGUUGAAACCAGAAGAGCCUUGUUAGCUUGUUUGAUCUAUACUUCGUUGUAGCAAAUGUAAAAUGACAACUCAUAUAAUGGUUGUUUCAUAUUCGAUCUGCAAGUCUUCUUCUCAUUCACACGAUGGAUGGCCAUAGGCACAAAGAGAAUCGAAGUAGUAGACCAUAAUCACUAUAGUAAAAGCUUAAAAUCUCAAAAUAUGUCAUCAUUUAUUUUUCAUUAUGUUAUCCAUAGAACUAUAGUAUGAGUUAGAAUAUUGCAUGGACAUCAGAUCAGCUACAACAUUUCCUAGCUUCGCCCUUCGCCGCCCCUGCAGCAGCUAGCCCAAUCCAGGAAAUGUAUUUCCCAGGUGGGGGUGAGCAGACCCUGGAAAUAAGCUGGGGACGGACCAGCACGUCAACCGUCUCUGAAAAUAGCCCAUUUCAGAGGUGGGCAACUCCAUGGUCCGUCCUAGCAGAUUGAAUUACAGGAGCAGACGACACGAAGCAUCACCCUGCUGCUCAACCAAAUUUUGUAUGGACAACGCGCAAAUGAAAAGGCAAGCGGAAAGCAUAAGGUCCAUUCUGCUCCGCACAUAUAUCUUAUCUCAACCACAGCUUUCCAUGUCAUCUCCUUAGAGAAACUCCGACAGAUUGAUUUUCCACAUUCCCCUUUAUCCUCUUAUAGGGCAUUCCCUUUCACGAUUUCUGAAUUUUGAAGACUAGUGGGGCAAGAAAUUUUGUAUAGUAACAAAGAUAAUCUCAGCCCCACUUGCUACACAUACAUGCACGGUAAAUAGAAAGGGUUAUUUUCUAUGUCAAAGGCAUGCUCAGCUUCAAAGUCGUUCUGUUGUUAGCAUCGUUGUGUUGUUUCUGCUAACGUGCAGGAGGAAGCGAAAACACAGAGUAGAAAGAGGAUGAGAAAUUAAAGAAGACAAUGAAGCUCACGUUCACGUCUACAUGAGGGAGCUCUCACACAAGCAAGUCCAUUCAUCCUCUGUCUCCAUGCUGUUGAUGAUGACAUGUCACAUGUCCUUUGCCUUGACGUCGGCGGCAGGCCGGCAGCCCAAUGAACCCAUGACGAACAGCAUGAGCAUGACCAGCUAACUUCAUUGCUGAGUACGACAUGUGGUUAUCCUUGCUAUAACUAAUGUUGGUCAGAAGAAGAAGCUGCUAUAAAGUUGUUCUGAAGACGCUGAGUUCUAGGCGUACGCAAGCCCCGGUUGAUUGCCUGCGAAGUUUGGAUCCUUCGUUUCCAGGAUUAAGCUGUAAAUCUCCGAUAGACUCUCUUUAUAUCUCUUUAUGUGAUACUGUUACUGUUAUUCACUGAUGAUGUGACUAUAUGUAUGAAACUUGAUCAUGUCAUACAUACAGUUAGCACUUGGUUUUGCUGUUCUAAAAUCAGAUGUGACACCUAUGAACCCAUGACGAACAGCAUGAGCGUAACCAGCUAACUUCAUUGCUGCUGCCUUUCGUAGAUGUUGGUGAACAUGACGUGUCUUUCAUCUCCACGAUGGCGACGGAUCCAAAGAUCGAAGAACAUGCAUCAACGCGAUCCGUAUGGCGUGUUUUCUGGUAUUUCCACCCCAUGAUGUAACGCCGACCGGGUUCCAUACGAGGCCUACGGCCAGUCUGUUCACUUUCAUCAUGUGCUCCGAUGAGAGUUCAUCACCGUGAUAAAAGACGGAGACGAGGGCACACAGUCGUAGCUGCAAGUAAGGCCAACAGGCUGAAGGCCAUGGCUUUACAGCCAGCAGUCCACCCUUGCAUGCACUCACGGACUAUUACCGAACUAGCAAUUGGUACUUUGACGCGCUACAUGGACCCUUACAAAAUUAAAAAAAUGAACGUCAACAAGCAAAUGAAACUGCAUGAACUGAAGUAGGGAAAUGAAGACCACGUACAGUUCUUAUUGAAGCUGAAAUGUAUGUCAUAAAAGUAUUAUUGUUAGAUUGAAGUCAAUUUAAAUAUUUAAACGAGUAACGAGGGCUCGGAUUAGUAGAAGGUGUUAGUAAGGCCCUCCAAUAGACCACUCAAUGAUUUUUAGAUCCAACUGUUUAUAUAGUAAGUUCGGAUAUUUAAUUAAUAAAUUGAAGUUGCCUUAAGAUAUGCAUAGUAAAUCACAAGACCAAAGUGGAAUAACCAUUAGACAACUAAUAAAACCAUCAUUAAGUUUUUGUCUACUUUUAGCAAUAUUGCUUAGGUUUUCUAUUUCGUCUAAAUAUAUCUUAAGCGGCUCAUAUGUCCAAAUUACCCACACAGUGAAUAAAUGUCGUUCCAGUUCAAGGAUUCAUGUGGAGUUGUCACACACUAGUGUGAACCCAUCAAGUGUGUGUCUUGCUUCCCUUUUCAAUCAACAAGCUACCUCCCUGAUUUGAAUAUAAUAAACUUAAAUGCUUCAGUUUCUAUGGUCCAUUGUUAUGUGAUGGACAUGAAAAAUGAAAAAUAUAGCCUACAAUGUUCAAAAUGCAUCUGAAGUACUAGGGUAUAAAAUAAGCUCACUGCCAUCCAAGUACAAGGGUUAACAACUAGAAAUAUAACCUUUAUUGCUAUCUGUAAACAAAAUAUGCCUGUUGAAUUACAUGUCGGGAAAGGUGAAUGCACGGAUUAACGGCUAGUAUUAGCUAAUUUUGUUGUCUUUUUUGUUAAUAACUAGGUUUCCAAUGCCAAACUCUGCGUAAGGGUUCAGCAACUGGCUACAUAUUGGAAAGGAGUUACUGUUGGUGGCUAGCCCUCAUAAGAGAUAACUAUUUCAUUCCUGAUGCCUUCCAUGCCUAUGGAUGUACCGCGUGCUCGAGUAAGCUAUGCUUGCAGAUGGAUCUUAAACCUGAUGUCAAAUUGUUUAUAAUUGAAAGAGUUUGCUGUUUGUCUGCUUUAGGGAAGAUGGGUAGCACGUUUAUAUGCCAUUAAUUCUCAUGAAAGAGUGCAUAUACCAUGUUUGUCGCAGCAAGAUGAGGCUGUAGAGUAGUAGAAGUGUAGAACAAUGGUACAGGUUGUAUGAAUAAUUUAUUGAAGGGAAUCAUAGACGCCACAGCCACUGAAGCUGUCGGGGCAUGAUUAGCCAAUGGUCUAAUUCCUGAUAUCUCCGUAUCCUAAUUUUCUGAAGCCUUACGGACUCUACCCUCCUCACUUCAUAUAUAUUAGUGUUUAUAAUAGCGGUUUUAUAAGAAGUGCUGAAGGUAUUGGUCCUGCUAUAUCUUGCUUCCACUACCGGAUUUGUGUACGAAAUAUUAAUUCUUGAGAUUUGUCAAUGAUUUUAGGAAGCAAUGAUACCUUCAACUACCGGAUUGCAUAUAUAAGUUAGUCUUAGCCAGUUAUAUAUCAGAGGAGGAAGCACGCAUUAAAUAAUAAAUAACUCAUGUUGAUUCAAUUGGUAACCUGGCCUCUAAAAAGAAAAGGACUCUGUGCUCAAAAAAUGAAAAAAAGUAGCCUGCUAAUAACAAUGUCGACACUUUACAUCUGAGCAGCUAGCUCCGUGAUGCUUUAUCUGGCUAGUGAACUACCUACCUAUGUUAUUUAAACAUUUUUGCUGCCUAUAAAUUGGGCAUCAUUUCAGCAGACCACCACAGCACCUGAGCUUGCCAUCUUUUCCUGUUCUAUCUCACUCAUUUGUCCUGUAGCUACUAGCUAAGCCACCAUAUCAUCCAUGGCUUCCGGUGCCUCCACCACGUUGAAGAUUGCCUCUAUCGCCGCUUGCAUCCUGCUGGUUCUGCUGUCCAAUGGCCACCCUACAGUGGCGACCGUUGAUUGUACUGCGGCUUGCAAAGAGCCGUGCGAGAGCUUUUCUAAGGGAUUCUGCGCGGGUGGAGCCACCAGCGGUUGUGCGACUAAGGCAGCAGCUACAGCAUGCCGCAAUUCGGCGUUCUCGCAGUGUGCGAACAACUGCUACACAGUUUGCACCGCCGGGACCAUCGCGCCUUGCGCUUGAAGAUGCAUUUGUGUUCCUACUUCCACAUUAUUGUUACUGGUGAGUGUGUGCAAGCAGGCCUGCCGUCCACGGGAGGAGGCACGCAAGCACGCAUGAUAAGCCACUGUCAUUUUUCCACUUUAUCAUUUACUUAUUGAAGGCAAUGUACGUGCCUAGCUCCUGUGUGGUUGAGCAUGUCAUCUUGGAAUUUUGUCCAAAGUUUAACAUACCAUGUUGUAUUGUUGUGUAUGGGUAUCAAUAUAAUUUAUCAACUAUUUUGCGUUUACCAUAGACAUUUCUAUGUUUAUUUGCAAGGGUUAGGGAAAUUUGUCCUUGAUAGUGUACUAACCGCGUCUGCCAACUGAACAGAUCAACUUUCUCAACAGCCUAUCUCCUCCUUGAAAAAAUAUUCGUUUUAGAAAUGGUUUGUUUCUUUUCUGUAUAGCUCUAUCACCCAUCACCGUGAGGGUUACAAAACUCGGCGCAAGCGUUCCAAGCUGUGGCGCCACAAACCACAUAAGCUGUGGCGCAAGGGUUCUAGCUGGCUAGUCACAAAAAACUAUUUCAUCCCGGAUGUCUUCCAUGCCCAUGGACCUGCCGCUUUCUUGAUCGAGUAAUCUAUGCCCAUGAAAGGGUUCGGUAUUUGUCUGAUCGAGGAAGACGAGGUAGCACAUUUAUGUGAAAGCAGUACUGGCGGACAUGAUGGUCGGUGGCCUAUUGAUUAUCUUCCAACUCCUUUAUGCCAUUAUCAGUACUACAGAAAUCAUUUGUAGGGGUGAAGUGUUUUUUUUUAGGGUGGACCAAAAGGUCUGCCGCCCCCAGGGGCGGAGCUACAGUCAACCAUCGAUGAUUUGGUCGCGAGCUCUUAUAUCCUUCCCAGGAGAACUGCCCAUACGUUGCUACGGAUAAAAAUAAUGUAUAUAAUUACAUUAAUCAUGAUUUGUUAUUUCAAAUGUGUGACAUAUUAUCGAAUUUACGUAUCUUUCUAUGCAUUUUUCGAACAAAGAGAUAUUUUUAUAAUAAUUUUAUCAGAUUAACAUGAGACAUAAUCUUCUAUGGUAUAUUAUGUACUCUAGUAUGUAAAUCUUAUGUUUGUUUGUGUAGUCUUCUACGUUGCUCGCUUUUUAUAAUAAAAGUAGAGAGAGGUGUGCGCCUGUGAACAACAAAAACCCAAAAAUGUACACAAUAAUCAAUAAAUUAUAAUUAUUAUUUUUUCCUAGAAUAAAAAUAUGGACUCAUCGAGCCCAUGAAAAGCGCAAGGAGGUGGCCCGGCAGCCCCAUCCAUCCAUCCAUUGUUAUCCACACUUGCUAAACAAAUGAAUUAAAAACAUAAUUUUAUCAACACAAGAGACGGAUUAAUUGUUUGGUACUGAACUUUCUUGGACGUUGCUGUUGCUGGAUUCGGCAUUAGGAAGGCGUCGCUCGGCCGUGCAGAGGUGCCAUUGUGGCUUUGUGGAGGCACCCCUACGUUGUGUCGGAGCGGAGCUGCAGGCAGCGUAAGCGGCCGGGUAGCACGCCACAACAUGCUAGAGACAGCGCCGAGCCUUGAGCCUUCGACUGGGGCUGCUUAUAGAGCCAACACCGCUCUGUAUCUUGCUCAGUGGAUGCGCGGACGACGGCGAGCGGCGCCUAGGAGAACUGCAAAUGCUCCUGCACACAUGCCCCAUGGGCCGGAACUGCACACUAACCCCCGCGAACGAUGGUAGUAGGGCAACAAAGCUGGCCAUGGCGCUGCUCGUUGAGCUUUCCGUGUGCGCGAACAGGCAUUUGAUAUGUUCCCUACAAAAUUAAAGGUUGUUUGAUUCAACGGUCAAAUAGUGCGAGCAUGUUAAUUGAUGCGAGUGUAUUGUGGGAACUGCCAAGGAACUGCAGGGCAUCGAGCAAGCAGUGGUGUUGCUCGGAAGUACCAGCACUAACGCGCUUUCCGAUGUGUCUCCAGCGGGGGUGGCAGCGUCUGCCUGCUGGGCAGCAGUUUCACCCUAUUCUGGGCAUCUCCCCACCCGUCUUGGCCAUCAUUACCUCUAGCAUCGUUAAGGUAUGGCUUCCUUUCAGCCUCGGCCGUUUCUUUCUCCAAUGACCGGUUAAAAGAUCAUUAUCUAAUCAACCAUUCACGUCGCCCAUAGUGUAGGCAACAGGCCAUUCUAUUGCGAUCCUCUGUCGCCUAUCGCUUCCCUUGAGAAUUUGAAGUCAGAAAUUCUUUUGUUUCAAUUUUGCUAGGUCCACUAGUUUUCUUAAAUCAGAAUCAAGUUGAAACCAGAAGAGCCUUGUUAGCUUCUUUGAUCUAUACUUCGUUGUAGCAAAUGUACAAUGACAACUCAUAUAAUGGUUGUUUCAUAUUCGAUCUGCAAGUCUUCUUCUCAUUCACACGAUGGAUGGCCAUAGGCACAAAGAGAAUUGAAGUAGUAGACCAUAAUCACUAUAGUAAAAGCUUAAAAUCUCAAAAUAUGUCAUCAUUUAUUUUUCAUUAUGCUAAAAGAUGGAGAUGAGGGCACACAGUCGUAGCUGCAAGUAAGGCCAACAGGCUCAAGGCCAUGGCUUUACAGCCAGCAGUCUUGCCUUGCAUGCACUCACGGACUAUUACCGGACUAGCAAUUGGUACUUUGACGCACUAUAUGGACCCUUACAAAAUUAAAAAAAUGAACGUCAACAAGCAAAUGAAACUGCAUGAACUGAAGUAGGGAAAUGAAGACCACGUACAGUUCUUAUUGAAGCUGAAAUGUAUGUCAUAAAAGUAUUAUUGUUAGAUUAAAGUCAAUUUAAAUAUUUAAACGAGUAACGAGGGCUCGGAUUAGUAGAAGGUGUUAGUGAGGCCCUCCAAUAGACCACUCAAUGAUUUUUAGAUCCAACUGUUUAUAUAGUAAGUUCGGAUAUUUAAUUAAUAAAUUGAAGUUGCCUUAAGAUAUGCAUAGUAAAUCACAAGACCAAAGUGGAAUAACCAUUAGACAACUAAUAAAACCAUCAUUAAGUUUUUGUCUACUUUUAGCAAUAUUGCUUAGGUUUUCUAUUUCGUCUAAAUAUAUCUUAAGCGGCUCAUAUGUCCGAAUUACCCACACAGUGAAUAAAUGUCAUUCCAGUUCAAGGAUUCAUGUGCAGUUGUCACACACUAGUGUGAACCCAUCAAGUGUGUGUCUUGCUUCCCUUUUCAAUCAACAAGCUACCUCCCUGAUUUGAAUAUAAUGAACUUAAAUGCUUCAGUUUCUAUGGUCCAUUGUUAUGUGAUGGACAUGAAAAAUGAAAAAUAUAGCCUACAAUGUUCAAAAUGCAUCUGAAGUACUAGGGUAUAAAAUAAGCUCACUGCCAUCCAAGUACAAGGGUUAACAACUAGAAAUAUAACCUUUAUUGCUAUCUGUAAACAAAAUAUGCCUGUUGAAUUACAUGUCGGGAAAGGUGAAUGCACGGAUUAACGGCUAGUAUUAGCUAAUUUUGUUGUCUUUUUUGUUAAUAACUAGGUUUCCAAUGCCAAACUCUGCGUAAGGGUUCAGCAACUGGCUACAUAUUGGAAAGGAGUUACUGUUGGUGGCUAGACCUCAUUAGAGAUAACUAUUUCAUCCCUGAUGCCUUCCAUGCCUAUGGAUGUACCGCGUGCUCGAGUAAGCUAUGGUUGCAGAUGGAUCUUAAACCUGAUGUCAAAUUGUGGAUAAUUGAAAGAGUUUGCUGUUUGCCUGCUUUAGGGAAGAUGGGUAGCACGUUUAUAUGCCAUUAUUUCUCAUGAAAGCGUGCAUAUACCAUGUUUGUCGGAGCAAGAUGAGGCUGUAGAGUAGUAGACGUGUAGAACAAUGGUACAGGUUGUAUGAAUAAUUUAUCGAAGGGGAUCAUAGACGCCACAGCCACUGAAGCUGUUGGGGCAUGAUUAGUCAAUGGUCUAAUUCCUGAUAUCUCCGUAUCCUAAUUCUCUGAAGCCUUACGGACUCUACCCUCAUCACUUCAUGUAUAUUAGUGUUUAUAAUAGCGGUUUUAUAACAAGUGCUGAAGGUAUUGGUCCUGCUAUAUCUUGCUUCCACUACCGGAUUUGUGUACAAAAUAUUAAUUCUUGAGAUUUGUCAAUGAUUUUAGGAAGCAAUGAUACCUUCAACUACCGGAUUGCAUAUAUAAGUUAGUCUUAGCCAGUUAUAUAUCAGAGGAGGAAGCACGCAUUAAAUAAUAAAUAACUCAUGUUGAUUCAACUGGUAACCUGGCCUAUGUCACUCGGAUACACCGUUUCUCUGAGGUGUUCCAGGAGGCGUAAGUUGUGGAACAAUUCCGCAACUCUUUAGAUGAUUGCUAAACUCGUGGCUCAAAUACUCGCCUCCACGAUCAGAUCGUAAGGCUUUAAUUUUUUUGCCAUGCUGAUUUUCAACUUCAUUCUGAAAUUCCUUGAACUUUUCAAAGGUUUCGGACUUGUGCCUCAUCAAGUAGACAUAGCCAUAUCUACUAAAAUCAUCAGUGAAAGUUAUGAAGUAUUGGAAUCCUCCUCUAACCUUCGUGCUCAUUGGUCCGCAUACAUCACUAUGUACGAGUUUCAACAAGUCUACUGCUCUCUCAGAAAAUCCUGUGAAAGGUGUCUUGGUCAUCUUGCCUAGCAAGCAAGCCUCACAUAUCUCGUAUGAUUCAAAAUCAAACGAAGUUAGAAGUCCAUCAGAAUGGAGCUUCUUCAUGCGCUUUUCACUUAUAUGACCCAAACGACAAUGCCACAAGUAGGUAGGACUCAAAUCAUUAGGCCGAGGCCUUUUAGCACUUACGUUACAGACAGGUGAACCAUCAAGAUUUAAAACAAAUAAUCCAUUCACAAUGGGCGCAAAAGCCAUAAACAUAUCAUUCUUAGAGAUCACACAACCAUUGUUUUCACUCGCAAAUGAAUAACCAUCCUUCAUCAAGCAUGAAGGAGACAAAAUGUUUCGACUUAAACUAGGAAUGAAAUAACAAUUAUUCAACUCCAUAAUAAAUCCUGACGGGAGGUGGAGUUGCAUCGUCCCGACGGUCAACGCAGCAACUUCUUGCAUUAUUGCCCACGCGGAAAUCAACUUCUCCUCUUUCCACACUUCUACUUCUUAUCAUUCCCUGCAUCGAAUUGCAAAUAUGAGCAACCGAUCUGGUAUCAAAUACCCAAGAAUUAAUAAUUAUCUAUAACAUUAACAACAAGCGUACCUGAGGUAGAAGUAUUCUUACUUCCGCCAUUCUUCAACGAAGCUAGGUAUUGCUUGCAGUUUCUCUUCCAGUGACCAGGUUCGUGACAAUAAAAGCACUCUUUGUCUGGAGUAGGCCCAGCUUUAGCCUUGGGCGCUGGGUUUGGCUUAGACAGUCCAGCCUUACCCUUCUUCUUCCAAAAAUUGCCCUUCUUAUUGAAGGUAGGCUUGUUCUGUACAGCCAUCACAUGGUUGGUACUAGCGCUUUUCUUAAUGUCUACCUCUGCUGUCUUGAGCAUACCAUAUAGUAUAUUCAGACCCUUCUCCGUCCCAUGCAUAUGGUAGUUCGAGAUGAAGUUCCCAUAGCUAGGCGGAAGAGAUGAAAGAAUGAAGUCAGUGGCCAACUCUUUGCCCAUUGGGAAGCCCAUCUUCUCCAAUCGCUGAGUGUAACCAACCAUCUUGAUUACAUUUGGUCCUACUGUUGCGCCUUCUGCUAGCUUGCACUCCAGAAAGGCUUUGGACACAUUGAACCUUUCAGUCCUAGCCUGUGUCUAGAACAUGUCCUUGAGCGCCACGAUCAUAUCGUGUGCCUCAUGAUUUGUUUCGAACUGCAUCUGCAGCUCGGGUUCCAUGCAAGCAAGCAUAAGGCAGCUUACCUCAAGAUUAGCAUCAAAUGCCUUCUUGUAAGCAGCCUUAACGGCAGCAGAUGAAUCAUCAGCAGGUACUGGUGGUAGUGGGGUGUCUAGAACAUCUUCCUUUUUAUCGGCCCUGAGAACAAUUCUCAGGUUACGGAUCCAAUCCGAGUAGUUUGUUCCAUUCAACUUGUCCUCUCAAGGACCGAACGCAAAGCAAAUGGUGUGGUGUUGCUAGGUGCCAUUUAAUCUACAACAAAAGUAAUGCAAAAUACACUAAGACAAACAUAUCCAUGAUAGAGCAAAUCACAUUAAACUAUGUUAACAGAAUCUACUCCCACUAAAAUCAAUAUCCCUCUAUUGAUACUUAGUGAUUCAGGAUCCACAACUAACAAGUCUACUAGUGAGCUUUAGCAUCACCGCUAGCAAACAAAGUAGAUCGGUAAGCAACUUUUCCUAAUCAUAUCACAUAUGACUCCUGUUGUUGGGUGACAUCUCCAUGUCUCGGCGCCCAACCUUUAUGCCCCAAGGUCCUUAAACGUUAAGUUAACCUUGUUAAGCAAACCAACCCUUAUGCAUGUAAGUGUGCGACACAAACCCGUCUAAUCAAGAAAAACUAGUGGCACCCUAAUUUCAUAGACCCACCACUAAUUGUACAAGACAUGGGACGGUGCAAGUUUUAGUUGGGAGGGCAUACUAACUUAAAAUUUGUGAGGGAUCGUUCUACUUCUAACAUCACAGCAUGCAGAAAGUAAAACAUAAACAGAAUAGCAUUCACACAGUUGUGACACAGUAUGACCCGUUUUCUUAUGGUGAUCUUCAUCUCCAUAGAACCUGUUCACCAUGGUGAUCUCCAUCUCCAUGUUCCAUGUGCGCCAUCCUCUUGGUGAUGAGUCCUCCAAGAACUAGAACAUGCUAUUACGCCUAAUAGCUAGUAAAAAGCUAGUAAUGAAGAUUACAUAGUUGGUUGGAUCAUCACAGAUUGGUACGCAGACCAUUAAAUACAUUAAGGUAACAACACAUAUGGCUCCUGCCGUGUUGCCGUACGCACGACACGCAGGUCACGAAUGAGUUACACACAUGCAUCACAUACACAAAGGGGCCAUACUGAUCACAAGAUACAUACAUCUUGCAAAACAGAGUUAAGCGUCCUAACGUUCCAAACUUUGGAGGCCCGAAACUCCAUCUUCCAAGCCGAAUUUGGGAAAUCUAAUGUCGCCGAAAAUGGCGAAGCAGUCGAAUUUCAUGUGUAACUUUUUCUGUAGAUCAAUUUUUAUAUAAAAUUCGCCCCGAUCCGAGAUCGUAUCGAAAAGUUACGGCUGAUUUACCGAAGCAUACGCACACGGCAAAAUCCCGACCCCGGCAGUAGAUCCCAUCUACUAUUGCACAUCUCAUGUGCCUGGCGUAUGAACCUAGAUUUCGAUUCGACCAAUCACAUUGAUCUUCGCUCACUGCAACUGGAAUUACGUGUAUCACCUAACUCCGAUGGUGGAAACCCAACCGGUAGGAGUAUGUCGUUACACUACCAUAGCAGCAAGAACACGAAACCAGGACGGAGAUCAAAUUGAAAACUCGCAUAUCUCCAUAUGCACACAUCCCAAAUCCAAAACUAAACAGCUACGGCUCUGAUACCACUGUCGGGAUACGAGGUAGGCUACACUAGCGCAAAUAAAAAAUUUUCUACCGCGUAAACCAGGGAAACUGCCGUAUAAGGAUCACGGGAUUACCACUCGACACACUACUAGUGCGCAAGAUGUAGAUUCACGUCGAUGCAGCGAAGUCGAUCAACGUAGUCGUAUGUAGUCGAUCACGUCGACGUCCAACAGCUCCUCAGCAGCUCGUCCACGUGCAGCAAGAUCUCCCUCGUGCCGCGGCUUGUCGGCGGCUCGUCACGGCUCGUCGGCGGCUCGUCCAAGUGCUGCAGGCGCAACACCUCCAAGGUAUCCACACGUGCAGGGAGGAAGCGUCACAAGCCGGACUGCUAGAUCCGUAAGUUGCAACAGGCGUGGGAGGCGCGGCUGAUGAGUUUCGUCAAAAUGGUGUAAACCCUAGGGCGCCCCCACCCCUCUAUUUAUAGAGGUUCCUAACGGGCCUCUGGGUCCGAGGCCCAUUAGUACUUCUAAACCUAAUCCAACUCGGAUCACAUCCGAAUUGGGCUUCCAGCCCCUUAAGUGUAUGACCCUAUGGGUUCGGAUACGUAUAGACAUGGCCCGAGUACUCUUACUCGGCCCAAUAGUCGGUAGCGGCCUCUAGCAAGACAUGCCAACUCCUAGAUGCACACGAAGAUCAUAUCAGACGAACCAUCACAACAUUAUAUACAUGCUAUUCCCUUUGCCUCACGAUAUUUUGUCUAGCUUCAAGCCGACCGCUCUUUCUCGAUCCUGUGAUUCGGAAUCCCUUUGUAGGUUAACUCUUAACCGUACGUAGCAUGGCCAUGCAUUUUUGGAUCCGAUCACUCGAGGGGCCCAGAGAUAUCACUCUCAAUCAGAGAGGGGCAAAUCCCAUCUUGAUUAACCAUGUCUCAUAGCAUGCUUCUUGACAAAACCGAAAGCUACCUUUAUAACUACCCUGUUACGGCGUAGCGUUUGAUACCCUCUAAGUAGGUCGAUCCACAUCUUGAAUACAUGCGACAAUCUCAGGUCUAAGGACAAAGCGUAUAUGAUGUUUAAAGAGAGAACUACUUCUCAUGUUGGGUCAGUCCUAGCACAUGUCUCCACAUGAACCCACAUUAUUAGUUCAACAUCUCCAUGUCCAUGACUUGUGAAACAUAGUCAUCAACUAAUACAUGUGCUAGUCUAAUAUUCAUGUGUGUCCUCACAUGAACUCCGACUAGGGACAACUUUAGAAUAACCAUACAAGUAAAGAGUUUCACACACAAUUCAUGUAAUUGCAAAUCAAUUCAAGUAGUCUUUAAUGGAUAUUCAAGGAACACAACAUAAAUCAUGGAUACAAAUGGAAUAUCAUCAUCUCUAUGAUUGCCUCUAGGGCAUACCUCCAACAAUUUGCAGGGUCAUGCACCAUGCGUGCGGCGACCCAUCCAUCGGACAGCGCAUGGCAUUGCACAAGACGUACUGGGAGGAUAUGCAGUGGAAUGAGCCAGACAGGUACUACGCCCUCCUCGCUCUGCUGGUUGGUUUGGGGAACCUGGAGGCCUGCACCAUCAAAGGGAUUGUAGAUUUCUUCGCCGUCCCCCGGCCAUCCCUCCAAAAGCUUUCCCGCACCACACCGGGUGGGCAUGAUGUGAGGGCCUAUCUUUACGCCCUAAUGAUAUACAGGAACAACAGUGCAAUCAUGGACGAUGACAUUGCGAAGAGAUAAAUCUACCACGUCGAAUGCAAGGAUGGUUCGGCAGUGAGCGGGAGCACAAGCUCAAAGAAGCUGCGCAACGAUGCCUGUCAGGUGUGCCGCGAGGAGGCCGCCUACCUAGUCAAUAGAGUUACAUGGGGCGGGCAUGGUGAUCCGCUUUCACCGGCACCAGUUUGAGGCGACUUCCCUUGCACUGGAGGCGACUGCGGCAAGGUUAAGGGCUGGGAACAAGCUACGCUUUAUUGCAACGAGGACUAUAGGAUACGCCAUGAAAUUGUAGCGUUCAAAAGGAGAAUGGAGAUCGAUAACUAAUUGUAGGAUUUCUUUUGCUUUUGCCUAAUGUUGUCCAUGACUCGUUGGCUGAACUUGUAGUGCUGGAACUAUGUUUGUGGUUAAUUUGGAUCAACUUGUAGUCACUACAAGGUUUUGUCUAUCCAAUGGAGUUGUAUUUUCGCAAUGUGUUUUUGUGUCUAAGCACACCUUACACCUCCCUACAUAUAGGUGUUAUGAUGCACAUAUAAAAAGAACCCACACUUGGGUACCUUCAUUUGUCCUUGGAUUUCAAUUGUGGGACCCACUACAUCCCGCCAGGUUGUGCCUCAAAUUUUUAGUACUAGUGCAAUGUUUCCUCCAUUCUUUUUUUCCUAGACCCUCAAAUAUAUCUCAGCCUCUACCCCACUUGCCCCCAAAACUGCGCUGGCUGCGUUAGGGGGGGCAACGGUUCCUCUCUGCCCAAGCGACUCCAUCCAUGGCAACUCCUCCUUCCAUGGCGACUCCUUCCAUGGCCGGCGAUGGAGAACCCAGCACACGACCAAGUACGGUCAGAGUCGAGGAAGCCGAUAUUGAAAACAAAUGUUACAGGUUCGCAUCCACCUUUAACGCCUUCUAGGUUAGGGCAGAAAAUUUCUACACAUUAAUUGCGUACAAUCGAUUUGAUGCUGCCUCAUUGGCGCAUGCUUUUAUAAAUCACAGAUCUGAUUACUACUGAUUAGUUUUUCGCAUAGCACUAGUAGUACUACAUCUUCAUUCAUUGAUGCAAGGGUUUUGAUAUCUAUGUGCACAUACAGAUCAGAGGAGUUGACAGGCUAGAUGGAUGUGGCAGGUAAUGGUACAGUGCCUGGGGGCAGAAGGACAAGAUGUGCGCCUGGUUAAGGUAAUAUUGAUAGCGCACAAUUAGACUUUGUCAGCUUGUGGGAUUACAAAGAUCAACUUCGAUAUGGUGCGUGGGACUACUACUACUACAAGAAGAGAAUAGGAAAUGCUGAUGCAUCUGUUCAGUCAAUUGGUUACCCCAAAGAUGUAGAGUGUAUGUUUCAGUACAUGGAUUCAUCUGAAGAAAGGAAACUAAGGUUGAUACUAUCAAAACAAGAAUUGGUUGGAGCUGUCAACAUUACACCCCUGAAACAACCAAGGGUGAAUGAGUCUGAUGAUGUUACUGAUGCUGAUACUAGUAAUGAUGAAUCACUUGAUGAAUACAAAGAUUGUCUUCAAGACCAAGACCUAGAUUGUGGUAUGUAUGCUGUUUGUACUACACUAUGCACAUGUGUCUAUAACUGUACAAUGUACUCACAUAGUUGUGUUGGUAACUUGCAGAUCUAUACGAUAACUAUAGGGAAGAAAUAGUAAAAACAUACUCUAAAUGGUUAAGGCAGAAAGGCCUUAUGAGAGAUAUUUGUAAAUCCUUUUUCCUCUGAACUAAUUCUUAUUUUUGAUGAAAAUUGUACAAUCGUCUAAGUGCACUUGUUUUUUAUUUGUUCAGUGGCUUAUAAUAGAGGUCAAGCAAAGCUUACAGAAGUACGUGAUGAGAGCAAUGGUAGUAGCGCCACGCCACCAUCACAAUGGCCAGCACAUGCUAGGAAACCAAAGCAGACAAUAGGUUCUAAAAGCUAAAGCUUCACACCUUCUGUAGUUUUUUAUGCUCUUAUUGUGCACGACUUAAUGUAAGUUUCUAUUUUUUGAUUGUAAUUAGGUGGCAAGAAAAUGGACCGAGAAUGCUUGAAAGGGCUAGCUGUGGUGGCCAAGAGAUCGAAGUCUGGCUCAUAGAAACUGAAAAUCAAAUUUUCCAAAAAUGUGGGUGGUCCCUGUGGAGAUAACAGACGUACCUUUGUGGAUGAGGUUGUUCUGUUUACAAAGUAGAAGGCUCCAUUAAUUGGAGUUAGAAAUUGGAAAGAUGUGUGUCAGCAUGUCAAGGAUGAUAUCGUAGAAUCUGUAAUGGUAUGUCAAUGGCCACCUCAUCCUUCAUUAUAAUGUUAUAUAUUAGUCUUGUUCCCUCUAUUUUCUUGGAAACAUAUAUUUUGAAUGUAGCAUACAUAACAAGUUUUCUUUCCCACUAGGAUCAUUGGGACCUUGAGACCACUGAGAGUCCGAACAAAAAGAUAUGGAAGGUUGCCAAUGAACGCUACAAAAGUUGGCGAUCUGUUUUGCAUUCUACAUACAAGGCAUACAACAGUUAUGAUGAGAGAAGGAGACAUAAGCCUGAAGACAUAGACAUUGUGAAGUGGCACUAUUUGAACAUGUACUUUGGAACUAAGGACUUCAAGGUAGGCCCUCUUUUGUAAGUAAAAGAACACAAUCAUGAGUUCAACUUUUCAUCGCUAACCAUUACUUUACGGGAUGACUGUGUAGAGUAGGAGCAGCAUGAACUCUUUGAAUCGUAGCCAACUGAGAACAAAUCACUCGGGGGGUUCCAAACCUUUCUCGUAGUGGAGUUGGGAAAAGGUAAAGAUUUGUUUACUUAUUCUCAACUUUCAGUACAUUACACAAUGAUAUAUUAAUAGCGUUUAAUGUUGUAAUCAUAGAGAGAUCCAGUAACUGGCGAUGAGCCACCCCUUUUGGAACUUUGGAAGACUACUCAUACUAGGGAAGAAAGAUGGACAAAUCACCUAGCUGAAAGUAUUUAUGUGUGUACUGAGUGCUAAUUUGAUCAUAACAUUGAUUCGGCAUUACAAGCUAUUUUUUGGUAUGAAAACAUGACCAAAUUAAUGUUACAAUUAAUUGUUUCUUGCCAUCAGACAUGUACAUCUAGAAAAUUAUCUCAACACAAUCAGAUGAAGAAGACCAACAAGUCAUACUUCUGGACUUGCUAAGGAAGACCAAGUUUUCUAGGAAACGUACAGGGAAACAACAGGAGCCAAAUAUAGAAGGUCACGUGGCCAUGGUUACUUGUCGAAUCCAAAACGAAAGCAAGAAGCCCUUCAGGAGAGAAUGAUUCAGGAGAGAAUAGAGAGGCCCGAAGAACAAGAAUGUCAGUUACAGGAAAAAAUGCAAAAGCAUGAAGCUAAAAAGGAAGCAGAGAUCGAACAACUUAAAGUUGCACUUAGCCAAGAAUUGAUGGGGGAAGUUGCUAGAAUGAUCGCGCCUUAUCGUCAGGCUUUACUGCAAGAGGUAACCAGAAUAUAAUUUGUGCAUGUUGAUUUAUGUUGUGUUCUAAAUUUUCAUAAUGUCACUAAUGUCUAGCCUCCCCUCUUUUAAAAUCCGCAGCGUACCCCAGCAAACAACAAUAAUACAACUGAAGUUGAUGCUAGGACCACCGAGGAUAACAUUGAUGCAAGGCCAGUACUGGACAGCCAAGAAAUAAGGAACCAUGUAUCGACAAUAAUUGGUUGUGAUUGAAAAUAUAUAUACAUAUGUCGCUAAUCUCUUGCCUGCCCGCUUUUAAAUUGUGCAGCAUACCCCUCAAACCAACAAUAAAACAACUGAUGAUGAAGCUGGGAGCACUGAGGAAAACCUUGCUGCAACACAAGUAGUGCAUAGUCAAGAAACAUCAAACCAGGUAACAAUAUCGAACAAGCAUUCCAAUCAUGAUGGUUUUUUGCAUUAAAUUUCAGCUAAAAUUGUUCCAAAAACUUUAUUAUGAUCCAGAAUGCUCCAAGAACCAUUGUCACAACCGAAAAAAGCACUUUGGCACCAACCAGAAAUGCUAAAACUGCCAACGUUGCAAAGAGUCUGUUCAAUGAGAAUCACGGUAAAGGUGUAGGAGUUGUUGCAGGAUCCAGAUUCAUUAGUACACAUCAGCUUAUAUCUGGUGCUAAAACUCGAGCAGGCAUAAAGAAAGUACAACAGGUACAAACUGGAAGUGUGCUUUCAAUAUUGCUGCAUAUUGAUUCCAAGACAAAGUAGCUUCAUAAGUUUUAAUUCACUUGUUUGUUUCUCUUUGCUUCAGCAGGCUAGUGAAGCUACGGAGGGGCAAUAAGACUCAAGGUUGCCUACAGGUUACAAGCAGAACUUCAAGCAAAGUUGAUCAUCAUGAAUGCUGGGAGUGAUCAAGAUUAUAGAUGUGUACGAAUAAUAUAGGUGUUCUACAUACUUUAUUAUUGGGAGUCAUGUGGAUGAAUGGACAAGAAUAUUUUCCGUUGUAUUAAAAAAUAUGAUGACGACAUAUUUUCCGUUGCGAUAUCCAUUGAGCGUAUAACCACGACCCGUAUUGUGUUGCACUAUCCUGUACGCAUAUAACCACGACAUAUUUUGAUGCGAUAUGGUUGAUGCAUAUAACGACGGCACAUACCUCGUUGUGAUACCUCGUGAGCAUAUUACAACGCUUUCUCAUCAUUGCGAUAUCCAUUGAGCGUAUAACCAUGACCCGUAUUGUGUUGCAAUAUCCUGUAUGCAUAUAACCAUGAUAUAUUUUGUUGCGAUAUGGUUGAAGCAUAUAACGACAGCACAUACCUCGUUGCGAUACCUUGUAAGCAUAUUACAAUGCUUUCUCGUCGUUGCGAUAUAAUUUAAGCAUAUAACGAUGACCCAUAUUUCGUUGCGAUACCCUUUAAGCAUGUUGCAAUGUCAUAUUUUGUUGGAAUAUGGUUGACGCAUAUAGCCAUGACUAGUAUUUUGUUGAGAUAUCCUCUUAGCAUAUUGCAAUAGGAUAAGUCUUGUAUUGCAACAACAUUCUUGUGUUGCAUUAACGCUUGUUUGCAACAGCGCAAUGUCGUUGCAAUAGCCACUAUAGCAACGACGCCUGCCAUUGCAAUUAACAAAAUUGCAACGACAAUGGACGUUGUAAUAUCCACUUAUUACUACGACACACAUCGUUGCAACAACUCACCCUUAUGCCCACGGCUUCCUGUGUCAUUGUAAUACCCUAUUACAACGCAAGUUUACGCAACGACAUGAAUUUUAAGGCAACGACACAAAAUUAUCGCAAUAGCUCGCUAUUGCAAUGAAAUGACCCCUAUUGCAAUGAUUUCGUGCUGUGGUGCUAGUGACAAAACCUUGUAGUGAAUGAUUUGGCUGCUAGCGUCACUUGGCCUACCCAACUCCCUCCGGGUUGGACGGUUGAGUGGGAUUCCUCCUCAGACGGCGAGGAUAGGGGUCAUUGAUGUCAUGAUCGGCUUCGUCAUGAUAUCGUGUAUCGACGUUUAGUUUCCGCAUGUUUUACUUCUUUGUUGUUUGAAACCGUGCAAACUCUGAUCUAAUAAAUUAUUGAUCUUUCUAUAAUAUGAACGGAAUGUUUUAAUCUCUGUAAGCACUAACCUUUGUGUGAGCAAUGCUUAUCGAUCCUGUAUAUGUGGUUUAUCAGAGGAAAUCCAACGGUCGACUAAGUUGACUUGUUUAAGGUGCUUGAUCGCGUGUUAGGUGACUUAAGUGCACUUUAGCUAGGUUAAUUUUAGACCAUUCCGCCACAACAUGGAUACUUUUUCCUCUUGGUUGCAUCAACACCUUAUAGGUAACUCUGAGAUUCACCCACAACUCGCUUGGUUAGCUAAGGGACCUUCUAGCACAAUCGUGAAAUUCCAAGGCUACAAGAUAAAUGAUUAUACAUUUUACACGAGAGCCCAAGACCAAAAAAGCACGAACCAAAAUAGUGGUGUCCGCAUAGAUGUCAUACACAGCACCGGUAGCAAGGACUCCUAUUAUGGUUUCAUAGAGGAGAUAUGGGAACUCGAAUACAGACCGCUGAACAUCCCUCUGUUUUGUUGCUAAUGGGUGAAGCUAACUGGCGUAACCAAAGAUCAGCAUGGAAUAACAAUAGUGGACCUAACCAAGACUGGAUACAAUGAUGAACCAUUCAUACUUGCCAAUGAUGUGCAUCAAGUUUUCUAUGUGAAGGACAUGUCUAGCAAACCAAAAAAAAUUCAGAAGAGCCAUGGAAGCCAAAGCGCCACAUAGUGCUUCUAGGUAAGAGAAAAAUCAUGGGAGUCAAAGAACAAAAUAGAGCAAUCAGAUCAUUAUGAUUAGUUUGAUGGCAUGCCUCCAUUCGCUAUUGAAGUUGACCCAAGCAUCAUGCCAAAGAAGAGGCUCCGUACUUACGCCAUGAUCAUGACCAAGGAACUUUCAUGAAGAAGUUUCUUAACGUUACAUUGUAAUGCACUAAAUAUGCUUCACCUUUAUGUAAAGUUACAUUGUAAAGUUCUAUGAUUUCAUGUACUACUUGAUACAAUUUUUAAUUUAAUGUAUCUAUGAUUUCAUGUGUGUUUAAAUUAGGUGAGGUGAAGAAUUAUUCAAAAUAUGUUUUUUGAUAUAUUUUUGCAUGUUUGAAAAAUAUAAAGUUUUUAUUUUUUUCUAUAACAAAGCCAGUUCAAAACAUAUAUUAAUUUGUAUGUUUAAAUUAGUUGAGGUAAAGAUUUAUUCGAUCAAUAUGAACAAUGUUAACCACAUACAUCAAUUGAAUUUUUCACAUGUUGAAAUUAUUUAAUUGAAUAAUUUCUUGAUGAUAGUGAUGUAGUAAAAUAAUUAUUUUAUAAACUAAAAGAACUAGUAUAGAAUUAAUGACUCAUUCAAACUUAUUGUUAAUAUACUUGCUAAUUUAAUAUAGUUUUGCAUGUUCCAAAUAUGUAAAGUUUUUAUUUUUUCCUUCCUAAAAUCCAGUGAAAACAUAUAUAAAAUCUAUUUGCAAAAAAUAGGCGAGAACUGAAAAAUGGAAAACGAAUCUUUAUCCUAGAUGCAAAUUGCAUCUAGGACAAAAUGUCCCCCCUUUAGGCCCGGUUGCAAUUUGCCACUAGGAUAAAAGGGUAAUUUUCGCCUCCCACGCGAACGUACCCUUUUGUCCUGGUUGUAAAUUGCAACCGGGACUAAAGGGGGGGCCUUUUGUCCGGUUGCAAUUGGCACCCAGGACAAAAGGACCCUUUAGUCCAGGUUGCAAUUUGCAACCGGGAUAAAAAGGGUCGUAAAAGUAACAUUCAUCUUCUCCACCCUCCACCCUUCAACACUUAGCGAAAUUUUCACCACUCUCCAGGAUCUACCGCGCCCGUCCGCCUCUGAUGCCGCUGGUCUCUCAUCCCCGCCCGUCCGCCUCCAUCGCCGGCCGCCGUGCUACUCAUCACCCGCCUCCAUCCCACUGUCGCCUCCUCCAUCGCCCGACCCGCCACCGCCUCCUCCGUCGCACCCUCUCGUCGCCACCGCCUCCGGUGCGCCCCCUCAUUGUCACCUCCCUCCGCGCCGCCUCUGUGGUGAAACCGCCCAACUUAAGCUGGUUUAAGUGCACCUAAUCGCUGUCGGGACAACAAUUAUUCGAAACACACCUAAAACAGCAUAAGUCCGGUAGUCCGUCGAGUGUCCCUAGGACUCCUCGAAAGAUCCACGACGUGUCUCAUAGCCAUACACCAGGAUCGCUUCCUCGAUGGGAAGGCAUCAACAAACAUUACAUUUUUACAUACAUACCGGGGUACGAAUUAUUACAUACCAUAGUUUGAAACAAACUUAAUAGUGCAGGUUAGCGCGGUUCUAAGAGUUCAAAACAUGAACCAGUCUAGGUGAAAGAUAAACAUUUAAGUUUUAUUUCUAGGGUAUUUCGAGACUCGUAAAAUACCCUAGUUCUUCGGAGCUUCUUCCUCAGCGGACUCCUGUUGUGGCUCUGAAAUAGCAACGAGGGAUAACCCUGAGUAUAGGGUACUCAGCAAGACUAACCCGACUAACCAAUAUAAUAGCUUUUCUGGAAUUGCAUGAAAGCCUUUCAGUGUACUGGCUGACUCAUAUUUUUGCCAAAAGAGCUUACUAAAGUGAAACCUUAACUUUGUCUUUUACUUCAAUUGAGUUAUUACCUAUCCAAUCUAGAUAAUGAAAAAGAAAUACUUUUGCAAACAGUAGGAAAUUAAGUCAUACAACAAAUUAAUUGGAAAGACAUUGCAUUCAUGAGAUUACACUACGAUGCUUAACAGCGAUCUAGCGCAUUCAUAACCGAGAAUUGCGGCGAUCCGGAUCAAUUACAUCCUAUAGGAGAGCACCCUGAUCACCAGCUAUGUACAACUGUCCGGGUCGUACAUAACGACCUUUCGAUUAGCAUACCCAAAGAUUGGGAAUAAGACUACCCGAACCCAGGGACGCACCCCCACAUGGGACCCCAUGUCUGGCCCGAUCUCCAUGUGAGUUUUUAGGCUAUGCCCCUGCCAAUCUCCAGCACGUCAAGCACGGGUACGAAAUAUUCCGGAUCAGAGAGUUUACUAACCUACCGGGCUUUACUGGUCCCAUACCCAGUAAGCAACCAGGUGACAUUCACUUGAUCAAAGGUUAAGACAACGAUCGGGCCUUAACCAAAUUAAUCUAGCAGACAGAACUAACAUCUCUAGCUUCUAUCGGCUUUCCAAAUUUCCAAGCUAACUUUCCAUAUCUAGCAUGUAUGACCCAACAAUUUACCUUAAGGUUCGGUAACCAAGUUACUUUCAGUAUCUAAGCAUUGCUAAGCAUGGGUUAAUUACUAAUUAUUGAACAAGUGGCAAAGAUGUCCUUAAAACAAGGCAGGAUCAUGCACAAGAAUAGGUUUCAAUCAACUCCUAGACUUAAUGCAUUGAUAAAAGAAAUAACCAAUAAUUGAACACAUGAAAUAAUAACUCCAAAACAGAUAGGUAUAGAUGCACCGGGGCUUGCCUGGGAUCAACAAAUGUUAGUUCUUCGGAAAACCCCUUUAGUAAAAGAGGCACUUCAACAUUUCUCGGACUCUGUCAAUCUUCAGAUGAAUUCCACGAAUUCCACUUCAGAAGCUUCGAUGUCUAUGAUUUAGUACAUGCAGGAGUUAGAGAUGCAAACUUUUGAAUACAUGACUAUACAACUUUCCUUCAUGAUAAAGUUGCAAGCCAACAAGUGACUAUACAACCUAUCUUCACAAUAAAGUUGCAAGCCAACACUAAUCUACCCAUAACAUCUAACCCACGAUUUUUUAAUCUCUUUACUAACCUGCCUUAAGCCCUUUCUUUUAUUUUAGAAAAGCAUUACAAAUAUUUUCUAAUCUCAAAAGUUAUUUCCUAUGAUUUAAUAAUAAUUUGUGAAUAAGAAAACAUUAUUCAAUAUUUUAUGCAUUUAAUAAAGGUUAAGCAUUUAUUUAAAUAACUUAAUGACGCAUUAAAUAAAUACCUAAAUUUUAUUAUUUUUCCUAGGGUAUAAAAAUUUGAAUGCAUAAAGGAAAAUAAAAUAAUCCUAACAAAAUUGGUCUCACUAAUUUUGGACACUCCUAGAAAUUUCUGUGAUUUAAACGGUGUAAACCGAAUUUUAAUGUUCUUUAUCUAUAAAAGGAAAACCUAAUGUUUAUCCAAAUAACCCCGGCCUAACCUUUCUCACUCGUACUAGGCCCGUUAAGCUGGUCCACCUACUCCCGGUCUCUACCUUAUUCUACUCGCCGGCCCAACGAGCGCCCAAACUCUAACGAGCCUCCUCACGACCGGCCUGCUCUCCGCACAGGCCAACAGCCCAACUUCCUCCUCCCUACCCAUGCCUGACGCAAGGGCCUUUUUUUUUUGGGGCCAGCCCACCCCGUUUCUUUCCCCCUUCACUUCCACCUGGGCCUCCAACCGACAAGCCCCUCUCAACUCCCCUGGCGCAUAGGCCAGAACAGGGGCGCGACAGGCAGGGGGCGGGGCUCGCCGACGGCGCCUCCCCGGCGGCGUGGCCGGGCUGGGGGCAUCCCGAAACCGGGGCACACCCACGGGCGGUGGCGGCCCUCCAGGAGGCGGCCUGUGCCGAGCCCUCCACGGUGGCGGCGGCAAAGGCCGGCGGCCGGCCGGCGCAAAGCCCGACGGUGGCGCAAAAACGGCCUUCGGUGCCCCCCCUAUGGACCCUAUUCGACUCAGCAAGCUCUGCAACCCAAGGAAUCGAGCAAAAGGGGCAGCACGGAGAGGCUCACCAAAGAACUAUGGUGGCGGCUGGCGGAUUAAAAUGGUGGCGAUUCGGAGCUUUGACGAUGAGGAAACAGAAAUCGGAGGGGCGUGGACGUUGCGGUGGGGCUAGCGAAGCGUCUGGCGGGCGGAUUCGCGAAGAGAAGCGAAAGCGACGGAGCGAGGGUGUUGGCCAGCGGCGGCGUUGCUUUCCCGAGCUUUGGCUCGCAUGGCAGUAGAAAUGGCAAAGGGUUAAAUGGGAUGAGGGUGAGGUGGUAAAGAUACAUAACUUUUACCGUGCAUGUGUGCCACCUCGAUGACCUGCAGGCCUGCGUGGGCGCGGACGUGGUUGUUGCGCUGGUCGACGGGCAGAGGUGCCGGCGGCGGCACGGCUCUGUCCCCUAUUUCUUCUUUCUCUUCUUCGAAAUUCAGACCUCCACAUCGACCAAUUUCAAAUCCAAUCUCUCGAAGAUCCCUUCAGCAGUCUUGUAGAGUAAUCCAUGUACUUCAAUUGAUAGAUUGGCCGCUACCUGAAAUGAGCACCCUAACACCGAGAUUUUGAAGCUCAAAGUUUGACCAGAACCUUUUGUAACUGAACCUCGGUCAUUCAGUCUCGUCAAGAUCCAAAACAGCGACUUCUUCCCUACUUUGAGCUCAAUUUAAAUUGCUUAAACUCCUUCCAUACAGCUUGAACCUUGCCUAUCCUUGUUCUACUACUGUUGGCGCUAGAAAUUGGCUGAUCGAAUUCCCAGCGUCAGACACACGACCCGGGAGAAUCUGCUUAGCUCCUGUUCGAGUGAUCACCCUAGUGCGGUUCGUGCAGCGUGCCAGCCAAUCUGACCUGUUGAUUGGCAAGGAAAGAAACGUGUCAGAUCCCAGAGGUUGCGAUCGGCUAAGGUUCCGAUCUCGAGAUAGCUUAUCAGUGAAUCGGCCGAUUUGCUGUAAUAAGGAAAUCGGCUAUAAUGCAGCCGAUUACCGGGCAGCGUUAAUAAAGAAGACUGCUGGAGUAAUCUAAACAAUGCUUAUAGUAACAACACUAGGAAUAGAUCUAAAUCGGCUAUGCGUAAAAUAAUAGAUUGAAUAACAAGGCACAGGAAAGCCGAAAGUUCCAAUUCCUAGCUGGAUAACUGGUGAUAAAACUAGAACUACAGGUAAAACCUAGAAUUCUAGUGGAUAUCGAUAACUGGUGAAUAAAUCUAAAUGAAACGACAGCGAUGCGCCCGAAGUUAAAGCUUAGAUAUUACUCGGUAAACGAAACUUACAGAAUCAGCCGGAGGUCAAGUUGAUGCAGCCUAGCCAACUCGUAUGAACUCGUGAAAAAGAAGAAAAGUAUUGGCGAAAUCGCCUGCUUGAAAGUAAGUGUGAGGAAAUAGUAGUUUGUUGUAUUGAUUUGAUGAUGAUUACAGAUCUACAAGGGUGGCUAUUUAUAGCCUGUUACAAACGACUUCUUAACCGACUAGAACUCUAUCUCUAAUUUUAAACAAAAAAUGAAUAUUUACAAGUACGACUCGUACUGGGUCAAUCAUCAUGCUGUCAUGGGCUGACUCCCUUUUUACCUUCAUAAUCCACUUCAAGCCCACACCGGCCCAAUUCCUCCAGCCUCCUAAUCGGCCGAUUUCUACCAACUCCAUUGGCAAGGGACAGCCGAUUACGGCCCACAUGUUUGGGGUUCUGACUACUCCGACCCUGGGACCUAAGGUCGGGCGAGGUGGAGUCCCUCCCUCAGAGGGUCGGGCGCAUCCGACCCCAGGACUCAGGGGUCGGGCGAGGCGGAGUUGCACCCUUAAAGGGCAAUCGGCCAAUCCUUGACUGUAGCACCAAUCGGCCGAUUUCCAACCAUGACCUCUGUGUCUUGCCGCAUCUCCUGAGUUCUUCCUUUCCUGACGCCGAUUUCAUACGAGUCAAAAUAUGGCGUCAACAACUACUAACAAAGAUUCCAUUUUGCGCAUGAACUCAUAUACCUUUUACAUUGGAUUUUUCUUAAAUUUGCUCCAAACAUUGCUAAUCAAUGCCGUUUUUCAGACAACAUUAUUUCGGCAAGAAGCCUGAAAUCUGUGCAUUUGCUGAAUUUUGGGCUUCGCUUUAAAUUCGAACCUUCCACUUUCUCUGGCCAACAACAUUUCAUUUACCUUCUCUAUAGUCCAUAUUUCACUAAUGUCCAAAAACAUCUGCUCACUUACAAGAACAAUUCUCCAGAAAUUGGCUCCAAAGUUGUGUACUCAAUAUUAAUUUCAGAGUUACGCGUUUUCGGAUGACUAAGUGACUUUGUUGAUUCCAUAUUCGAUUGUAUUUAUGAGAGCUUUAUAACUUGAUUUAGACUUCAAGAUUCAUUCCUUUGAGUUAUGAAUACUCUCAAGACUCUAUUUCCUAUUUUUGCCAAAUUUAUCCAAAUUUGAAACUCCAAAUUGCAAAUUUGGUUGAACUCGGCUCAAAUUCGAUUUUGGCUCAAAUUACCUUCCUUUAAUCCAACUUCACCAUUAGCUUCUUAAUGUGAUACUUAAGUUGUCAUUAACACUGGGUGUUACAGCCUCCUUGUCGCCCACCUCCGUCCCCGCCGCCUCCGUGCCCGCCAUUGCCCGCCGCUCCAGCCGCCGUUGCCUGCCGCCUGGCCCACCGCCACCUCCUCCGUCGCGCCCCCUCAUUGCCACCUCCCUCUGCACUGCCUCCUCAUCGUCGCUCUCCAUCGCCACCUCCGUCGUCUGUGCCAGCUCCGACCCCGCUGCCACCGGCAUGCGCCGCCCCGACCUCCUCGUCUUCUGCAUUGCCACUCCGUCGCCCCGUCCGCCGUAGCUCGCCGCCAAACCUCUGCCACCUGCCAGCCCGGUGACGUGCGGCGCCACCCCCAUCGCGACCCCCGGCCCUCUCCACACGUACAAUGGGGCCCUUGCUGAUGCUAGGGCCCUUUUUUAUUUUUUUAGUUAGAAAAUCAGUAUGAUUAGUACAAAAUCAGUAGGAAAUUACUAUUAUUAGUUGAAAAUCAGUAGGAAAUUACAAUAAUUUAGUUCAGAUGCUUAGUAUAAUUUUGUAUACAUUUUGUAUAACUUUGAGAAAUUACUACCUUUUAUUAUAAAUGAUUCGAAAAUUAGUAGAAAUUUGUAGCAAUGCUUAAGAUUUAUUCAGGAUAAGUUCUUAGUAUGAUUUUGUACACAUUUAGUAUAAUUUUUAGUACAUUACUAUUAUUUAGUACAAAUGCUUCGAAAAUUAGUAAAAAUUAGUAGAAAUUUGGUAGAAAUUCUUAGAAAUCAGUAGAAGUUUGUAGAAAUUUGGUAGACAUUCUUAGAAAUCAUUAGAAAUUUGUAGAAACACUUCAAAUUUGGUACAAAUUCUUAGAAAUUAGUAGAAAUUUGAAGAAACACUUCAAAUUUGGUAGAAUUGCUUAAAAUUAGUAGGAAUUAGUAGAAAUUUGGUAGAAAUUCUUAGAAAUUAGUAGAAACACUUCAUGUAGGAUUCGUUCAAGACAUUUCAUGUAAGUUUCAUUCAAGACUUUCAUGUAACUUUCUUGUAAGUUUUCAUGUAAGUUUCAUUAAAGACAUUUCAUGUAUGUUUCAUUCAAGAUAUUCAUGUAAAUUUCUUUUAGGUUUUCAUGUAAGUUUCAUUAAAGACAUUUUAUGCAAGUUUCAUUCAAGACAUUCAUGUAAAUUUCUUGUAAGUUUCAUGUAAGUUUCAUUUCGUGUAUGGUUUCAUGUGUAGAUUUCAAUCAGUUUGUUUUUUUUCAUGGUUGUUCUAUGAUUUCAUGUAUAUACCUUAACGUACAUGUAACUAUAAUUUCAUGUGUGUUUAACGUAGUUGAGAUGGCAGACGACAAGACCGCAAGCUAUCUAAUGGAGCAGAUUAUUGCUGGUGGUAGUGGCUCCAACCUUCCCGUAACGUACAUCGAUAAAGAGGGUACCUAGGCGAACAUGUUCCUCAACAUGUCCAGCGAUGGCAAUGAAGAGCCUCAGCCCUAGCAAAACCUUGUCGUGAUGGAAGGUUCCAGCGAGGUAUAUAUCAUUUCCAUUGUUUUACCCCAUCUAUAAUGUCUUAUUCAUUAUUAUUAUAUACUAAUUAACGAAUCUUGAACUGUUAGCCCUCUGGAUCGAUGAACCGUCAUAAGCCCUGAGGCCGUACAAAGGUGAUGGAUGGAGGGCUUAUCAUCAUGGAAGUCACAGAAGAGGGCAAGCCGGUUGCUCCCGAAAACAUGGCAAAAAAGUACGUGAGCCAGAUCGAGGCAAUCGUAAGGGACAACGUGCCCAUCAACAUCAUGGAAUGGAGGGGUGAAAGUACUAAUGGAUACGCGCUCUCGGAUACAGAAAAGGAAAUGUUGUGGUUAGAUGUUAAGAAACAUUUCACAUUUUUCCCGAAGGAUGUAAUGAAGAUUAUGUGAAAUCGUGGAUGCUGAAGAAGAUGGCCACACAAGAAGGGCUGAUGUCCAGAUUUCAAUGAGUGGUCAGGGACCACUGGGAGUCAUUUGUUGAAUACAAGACGAGCGAAACGGUGCGAACAAGGUUCGCACCAACUUUGUAAAUGCUGGCAAGAAGGAGUACCAUCAUUGUCUAGGGCGAGGUGGUUACAACACUACAAUUUCUAGAUGGCGCAAGAUGGAAAAAGACCUGAUUGAUUGGGGUAUCCUACCAGCAACUCUUGAAUAGCCUGAUCGAUCGAAAAAUUGGUAUUACGCUCAUGGAGGCAACAUGAGCCAAGAGGAUGGGACAUUGAUCUUCAAUGAGACAAUAUGUCAGAAGGCCAAAAGGCUUAUCAAGAACAUUGAAGAUGACACGGCUGGGAGUUGAAGGUGGACCGAGAGAAUAAUGAGCUAACAUUGGCCCAAGAAUCCCGAGCACCUAGGAUAUUGCCGAGGGUACGGGGUCAUUCUGUGGAAGUUCGCUUUUCGAGGCGACAUGGACUCAUACAGAAGCCGCAAGCGAAGAAAGGAAUAGCAAGAGGAGAGCUGGCGGCGCAUGUUAGAAUCCAAAGUGCAUUCACAUGAAGUAAGAAUGCAGGAGGAAAUCAAUCAUCGAGUGGCCCUAGCAGUUGCGAAGUUGGCCCAAUCUAGAGCACUGCCGGAUCCAAACGUUAGAUGAGCAACGGUUCUUUGUGGCUGUGAUCACGCAACGCACCUCAUGUGAAUGGCAUAAACUGGUCGGCAACGUCACCAUUAAGGUAUACUUAUACAUAAUAAUUAUGCAAUCUUCUCAAUCCAUCCACGCCUCAGGAGUUUAAUAACUUCUUUAUUUCUACUAUAUGUACAAGUGGCAUACGAGAGUGCCUUACCAAUCCUGCCAGGGUAGACAAGCGAUGCCAUGGAGGUUCUACCUGGCUAUGCUAGCGUCAGCCUAGAGCAGCUCGUUGAUAGCCAAUAUGAAGGCCUAGAGCUCGACCUCCUGGGAGGCGAUGGGGAAAGGACACUAGGAGAUGCGCUUCACGGGAUCAUUCUAUGGUGCAAAUGUUACAUCAUCAUCCCCGGCAUGGAGGCAUCAUUGCUCCCCGUAGAUCCCCAGCAGCGACCAUCUCCUCAAAGCUCUCGUCAUCUCCACCACGGCCUUCUCCAGGACCGUCAUCUCCACCACAACUUGCUCCAGAACCAUCAUCUCCAGCACAACCAGCUCCAGGACUGUCGUCACCACCGGGACCGUCUCUUCCUGCUCGAUCACGGUCUCCAUCUCCAGCACAUCCUAGUGGUGCGAGCGACGAUGACAAUAACACCCCUUCCCAAUCACCAUCGCCAGGACUAAGAGCUGCAUCGAGCAAGGAACCUGUAGCAACACUUAAGAAGUCGCAACCACCGCCUCCCAAGCCAAGACAGAGAAAGAAGAAAACAAACAAGCCUGAAUUGACUCCUGACAAAUGUAGGGAGGAGAAAAUGCAUGAGGAUUGCUGGCCCAAACCAAAGCAGAAUGCAGGGAGCGGUUCAAGAAAAUGGCCGAAGAAAGAAAAGCAAAGGCGAUGGAGCCACCGCCAGUAGAUCGAAGACAAUUAAAUUUUUUUAUAAAGAUGUCAGAAGAAGCCAAGAAGAUGCUGCCACCUUAAACUACGAUCGGGUGUUAGUCAAGGCUGAUGAGAGGAAAAAAUGGAAAGGAAAGUCGUCUUCAAGGGGUACUAUCCUCCACCUUAGACAUCUACCAAAAAAGACUCUCAAAAGAAAGCAUCAAUGCUAGCAAUGCCCUUGGAUCAAUAAGAACAAGUAGUGAAAUUCAUACAAGAAACAGGAAUGUCCUUUUCUGAAUGUCUAGGGCAAAGUGAGCCACCAGCUGCAUAGCCAGUUGAACCGAAAUGGACCUUUUGAGCUAGGCAAGUCUCUGGUAAGGCCUGAGUUGAUAUGGAAACUAUCAACAAAGAUGUACAAAUUCCAUGAAUGGUACAUCAAGCAGUCCAUCGUUGACAGGGAAAUAUUCGACCUUAAGGUCAAACCAAUAGCCUGGUUGACGUCUCUCUCAUCAGCGCCUGGGCUUUGCAAGUGUUCGUUUAUCUAUAUGUAAAUUUUGGCUCAUAUCAUUAUUUUUUGUGCAUGCAUCGCCCUGCUAACUUCGUCUUCCAUUUUAUGUAGGAUGCUAAUUCAGAUGUGCUGAUGGGAAGUGUACUUCCAUGUUGGCUUCAUGGAUCCAUCCCUAGUUAACCAACACAAGAUAUGGGAUUUUGCAGAGAAAACGUUGAUGGAAGUAUACAAUUUCCUGGACAAACAAAAUUACAGCAAGGAAUACAUCCUACUUCUAUACAACUUCAAGUAAGUGUGUGUAUACCAUCUAUUUUUAUUUUCUUUUUCCUUACCUGAUUAAUGUUAGUUAGCUCUAAUAUGAACAAUUACGUACGCAGUUUCCACUGGAUCCUCCUAAUAAUUGAGCCUGAUAGAAGCCACAUCACUGUCUUCGAUUCAUUGAGGAAACCACCGAAGGAGUACCAAGACGUUCAAGACAUGCUAAACUUAAUAAUUCUGGACUUUAUCUCUGUGCAAAAGUUUGUUUCCUAAAUUUUCACCUAACACUGUAUCAUUCAUUAACACAAAGGUCCAUUCAAAGAAAAACUUACAUGGAACACAAACUUCCUGGCAUGUAUGAAGUUUGCAUAUUUUGUACAUUAUAUAGCAUGAAUAUUUCAUAACUUGUUUUUCCCCACUGUAGUGCUUAAGACAGGAACUCAAAAAUAAUCUAUGUGGCUACUAUGUCUCUGAGCACAUGCAUAGUUUUUUGGGACACAAGGUACUAAAGAUGACGCCGCACAACUAUAAAGUACGUAAAAGAAAACUAUUAAUAGUUAAAUAUUUUCUAGCUCCUUAUAUUUAAUUGUUCGUGUAACAUUCACAUAUUUCCAGAUUACAGAUGCAUAAUAUUCAACAAAAACUCUUGGAGAAGGAAAGAAUAAGGGCAAUAUGUGAAGGUCUCAUGGGAUUCCUGGUGGACGAGGGGGUACAUCAACAAGGAGAAUUUUAUUACAAUGGAUGAAAAUUAGACGCACCGAGCAACACCACGACGGGAAGAUCCAAGGAAUGACUGGGGCAAAUUUUUGUAGAUAUAUAUACUAAUUGUAUAAAUACUAUGCUAAGAAUUGUAUAUAUACUAAGAAUUGUAUAUAUAGUAAUUGUAUAAAUACUAGUUUGAUUUCAUAAUAAAAAAAGUCUUAACUAAACUAAAGGGUACGUGAUGCAUGAAAUUACAGGCGCCUGCCUGCAUGGCGCCUGUAAUUUCAUGCAUGCACUUUAGUCCCGGUAGAAAAAACCAACCGGGACUAAAGGGAGCACCCUUUACUCCCGGUUGGUAAAACCAAGGAGGACUAAAGGGGCCUGUCCCGCGCCUAGCGUGGCAGCCCCUUUAGUCCUGGUUGGUUUUACCAACCAGGAUUAAAGGGUGUCUUUAGUCCCAGUUGAGUGACCCGGGACUAAAGACCCCCCAUUCGUCUUGAUUGCUUUAUCCCGGAUGGAUUUUCGGGAAAUUUUAUCCCUACCAACCAGGACUAAAGGUGAGUUUUCUACCGGUGCCUGUUCUAUCUCACUCAUUUGUCCUGUAGCUACAAGCUAAGGCCCCAUGUCAUCUAUGGCUUUUGUCCUGUAGCUACUAGCUAAGCCCCCGUAUCAUCCAUGGCUUCUGGUGCCUCCACCACACUGAAGAUGGCCUCUAUCACCCCUUGCAUCCUGCUGGUCCUGCUGUCCAAUGGCCACCCUACGAUGGUGGCCGUUGAUUGUGUUGCGGCUUGCAAAGACCCGUGCCAGAGCUUUUCUAACGGGUUCUGCGCGGGUGGAGCCACUGGCGGUUGCACAACUACGGCAGCAGCUACAACAUGCCGCAAUUUGGCGUUCUCGCAGUGUGCGAACAACUGCUUCAUAGUUUGCACUGCCGAGAUCAUCACGCCUUGCACUUGAAGAUGCAUUUGUGUUCCUACUUCCAUGUUAUUAUUAAUGCAGAAUAAUAUGGAUAAAUACGUGCAAGCAGGCCUGCCGUCCGCGGGAGGAGGUACGCAAGCACGCAUGAUGAGCCACUGUUGUUUUUCCAUUUUAUCAUUUACUUAUUGAAGGCAAUGUACGUGCCUAUCUCCUGUGUGGUUGAGC
rnacentral:lncRNA from 1 species